AUAUUAUGUUAAAAAUUUUAUAUUUAUAUAAAAAAUUUUGCGCACUUAAUUGAGGAGAAUUUUUUUGUAAAUUGUGAUCCUGUUAAAUAUAAUAAUAUAUGAAUAUCUAUUUAUAUCAGCUUAACUUUUUAGAGUACAACGGUUGUUUUAUAUAUUUCACUUAGUAUCAGAGCAGGAGUUUUUGAGUUUGAGCCACGUCAGACUUCAACCCUAUUAAUUUUCUCCUAUUUAAUUCAAGUUCAUGUCAUAGGCCUUAUAAAAAGUAUCGAGUCCAGAUGUGAGCUUAAACUCUUAGAGUACAACAAUUGUAGAGAAACUGCGCUCCGAUCAGAUACACCUCGCGUGUAAUUGGUAAACUUGCAUCAAACCCUAGAUGCCAUAAUUCCAACUCCAAUGGAAAACCCUAAUAUUAAAUCUUGUACCAAAAACUUGGACCACCAAAGACCAAUUUGAAAUUAUUAGAAGCCCUAAAGUGGACCAUAAGUUCAAAACCGACCAAAACUUCUAAUUCUUAUAAUAUUGGUUUGUUGAAGAGCAUAUACAUAUAAAUAUAUAUUGUUAUAUAACAUUGUUUAUAAUUUUUAAAUUUAAAUCCAAGCACAUGCACUCACUCAUAUAUUGAGUCACCUGAAGAUGUUUAGGGUCUAUAAAUAAAGGUCGUAGGUGUAACCCAUUAACAUGCGAAUCCAAACUGAAUUUGACCUUAAUUUUUGCAUUCGGGUACUUAAAUUUGGAUCCUAUACCUUUAGUUUUGGCUUAUUGGCGAAAAAAAAUAAUGAUAGAAGGAUUCGAUAUUUUACGUUUUGGAUGGAAUUCUGAUUUGCAAGUACUAGCGCAAUGGCUUAUUGGAUUCAGAUUAGGUCCAACACAAAUCCGUAUCAUUUUUGCUUCCCCUUUGGUUUUCGACUCAUUUUACUUAGUUGAAAUAAUUUUUUUUUUCAAUUUAAUGAUAAUGUUAGCUUUUCAUUAUUAUAAUAAUUUAUUUGUAAAGUAUGAUUAAAGUAAAUAGAGAAAUCGUCAUACUGCGAUCUUACAAUAACAAGGAAUUUAGAAUAAACUGUUCUAAUACCAUAUUAAUCAGAAUAUUGGUCUCGCAAAAAAUAAGUCCAAAAAUAUAUAUAGUAACGCUUAAUACAUUUUACCUAACUUUUAUAACAUAAAUCAAGGGGGAAAGAUAUGAAUUAUAAAAAGAUUUGAUUUAUUAAAACCCAAUCAACUACUUUUCCAAACUGUCACAACAAAAUCUAUGGUUUGCAUCAUCAAAUGCGCAUGUCAUGGGAAAAGGCAAUAAUGGGGUGAUGGAGUUGAGCUUUUUAUUUUAUUUUCUUUGUUAGUCUCUCUUGUGAUUAUUCUCUCAUAAUGCAACUAACGGAGUUUCCCAUGAUGAGGGGAGGGGGCUUUUAUUUUAGAAGUGCUUCCACAUGAUUAGAUGGGCUCAUUGUAAUGAUUAGCAUGUGCAUUCUCUCUGCCCUUUUGAAUGCUUUGCAUUGUAAAAAAAAAUCAUAUACUUUUCCUUGUUAUAGGUAUACAUUAAAUUAAAUAGAUAAAGUGAUGUAUUAUUAUUAUUAUUAUAUAUAUAUAUAUAUAUAUGAAUAAUAUAUAUAUAUAAUAAUAUAUAAUAUAUAUAUAUGUAUAUAUAUAUAAUAAACAUAUAUAAAAGCGUGUAGAAAUUCCAACAAUGACAGACGGAAUCCAAAAAGGAUAUAAAUAAUAUUCCCUACGAAUGGUUAUGAUUAAUUGUUAAAAAUAUCUCAAAUAAAAAACGAAGCGUUAUAUGAUCAAUCUAUUAAAUAUAAAAAAAUAUUAUCUACGAAUGGUUAUUAAUUAAUCUCAAAUAAAAUAAACGAUUAUGAUCCCUAUUAAGUAUAAAAUAAUAUUUCCUGACGAAUGGUAUUUAAUUUGUUAAAAAUACUCAAAUAAAACAAACGGUUAUAAACAAUCUAUUAAAUCUCUACUAUAUUAUAAUAAAAUAUAUUCCCUACGAAUGGUUAAAUCAAUUUGUUAAAAAAAUACUCAAAUAAUAACAGUUAUGAUCAAUCUUUUAAAACAUAGCAUUUCUAUUCAUCUAUAAAUUCAUUCUUACGAAUGAUUAUAAUCAAAUUGUUAAAAAUAUUUCAAAUAAAAACAAACUGUUAUGAACAAUUUGUUAAAAAAUAGCAUUCCUAUUCAUCUAUUUUACAUUAAAAUUAAAAUUUGAGUUUAAAAUUAUGAAUUAAAUUUAAUUUUUGAUAUCAAAUUUGAAUAGUGCAAUUAAUUUUUAUAUUACAGUGGAUCAAAAUUAAAAUUUAAGUUUUAAAGUAAAUGUGAAUUAAAUUUUGACGCCUUAGUUAAAACACAUAUUUAAUUUGAUUCAUCAAAAAUCAAAGAGUAAUAUAAAAAAUUUCGAUGUAUAUAAAAAAGAACACUAUAGGAUAUUUGUAAAUAUUUUCUAAUAAAAUAUAACAUAUUAAUUUAAAUAUAAUUUUAUUGUAAAAUUUUGGAUAUAUAUAAUGUACAAAUUUAUUCGAUUUGAAAUAAAUAUAAAAUAAUGUUACGUGCAUUUGCACGUACAUUCAACUAUAUUAUAUAUAUAGAGUUGAUCUAGGAUACUUUACAAGUAUCAUUCCCAUUAUUGCUAUCCAGUUUUAACAUUAGAUCUACUUUUUGAUUACAAAUAGCCCUUGAAUCAAACUACUAUUCCACCUACCACGCACCUACACACGCAUCAUCUCAACCUCACAUCUCUCCAUCCAAGGUAAAAACACACAAGUAUCACUUGGUGUAUCACUUGUAAAGUAUUCUACCGCCUACAUAUAUAUAUAUAUAUAUAAUGAGUCCGCUAUUAUACUUUUAUGAGUAUGACUCCUUUAUACUCAUAAGUUUUUCAGCCCUUAAGAUUUGUUACACUGAUCAUUUCCAUCCGUUAGAUGCAUUACUAUUCAACAACUACCCACUCAACCAUGGGAGACCACUAUCAUUUUAAGUUGGGACCAUCAUUACCUAACCACAACUAUUCUAAAUCAAUCACAGUUAAAAAUUUAUGAUACAAGGGGGCCUAUACUCAUAAGAUAUAAGUAGCCCCAGCAUAUAUAUAUAUAUAUAUAUAUAAUACUAGGCGCCGUAUACUUAUCGGUAGCACGGAGGGCCUUCGGGCUACCAAGUUGUUUUCGAUAUGAUCGCAGCUUCCAAAUCGAUGAUGCUCCAUUAGAUUUGAUCUAUAUAAUUGAAAUAUUUAGAAACUAAAUUUCAUAAUUUCGGGCAUUCAUUUACCUAUCAAACAAUAGUCUAAAAUGAACGGCUGAAAAUAAAAAUCUCAUAAAAAAUGAUGAUAAAAGACUUAAAUUUAAGAUCAGAGUACUGAUCUUACUCUAAAUAGUGAAAAGAAUUUUCUAUAAAAAAUUUCAUCAGAUUUAGAUUAUUUUACAUACCGUUAAAUUCACAAACGCAUUACAUCUACCAUUAAAAUAGUCAAUUUUGAUACAUUUGAUCACUUAGCACAAAUGCUGUCGAAAAAUUAUGAAUUUAGUUUCCCAAUACUUUCAAUAGUGUAGAUCAAGUCUAACGGGCCGAUCGUCGAUUUAGAAGCCGCAUCAUCGAACAACAUUGGUAGCACAGAGCUUCCGUGCUACCUGAUAUAUACCCAGCCUAAGCUCUAUAUAUAUAUAAUAUAUAUAUAUAUAUAUUAUAUAUAAAUAAUAUGGACUGGAAUAUUAUUAAUAGUAUUUGGCUCUUUUGCUAUCGAGUUUUUUAAAUUCUUAUAUGAAAAAUUAUAUGUUAGGAUGAUAAUGGUCCCCCAGAGUUUAGUUGUGGUCCUGCUAGGGUUAGUGGGUAGUUGGUUGAAUAGUGUGAUAUAAAAGGUAGAAAUUGAUUAAAAUAUAGAUUUAACGGCUAAAAAAUUGAUAACAAAAAAGUCUAAAUAUUAUUCAUAGUAUCCACCCAACCCCAUAUAUAUAUAUAUAUAUAUAUAUAUAUAUAUAGGGUACGGCUACUAUAAUCUAUUAUGAAUACAUCGCUCUCGUACUUAUAAAUCGUUUUCGAUGAUAGAGCUUCCGAAUUAACGAUCCAUACCGUUACCGUUAUUUACAGCCAUUUAAAAAUUUCUAGAAAUCAAAUUUAUAUAUUUUCGACAUCAUUUACCUAACGAUCAAGAGUCACAAUUUGACAAUUUUUAAUGGCCGUAAUGGAUACUUGCUAGUUUAACAGUGUAAAAAAUCAGAAUUUGUGAAUUUUGAUAGAAAAUUCUAUUUACUACCUAGAUAAAGAUCAAUAACUCCGAUCUUUGAAUUGAAGGAUCCGAUCAUCCUUUUUUAGGACAUCGUUCGAUUUUUGACGGUUCAUCUUUAUGCCCGCUUGAUAGACUUUAUUAUGAUUUCAAAAUUUACGAAAUUUAUUUUUUAAAAGUUUCAAAUACUCUACAUCAUAUUUAACGAGUGGAUCGUCGAUUUCGGAAGCUCCAUCAUCGAAAACAACUUAUGAAUACGAGGGCUCCAAUACUUAUAAUAGUAUAAGUAGCCAUGUCCUAUAUAUUAUAUAAUUAUUAUUUUUAUUAAUCCGUAAUAACAAAAGCUGAGGGCCACGACCUUCUCUUUUUUAGAAUUUUUUUCUGAUUUUUUUUUUUAUUUUGAUAGUUAUUACAAUAUUUCAAAUUCUACAUAACAGUCUUCAUUUAAUACUAGCCGUUUCUAUGGCAAUUAAUUAUUUUUUAAAUUAGAAAACGGAUCUUCAUAAUUGCAAUUGAUAAAUUAUUUUAUUAUCUAUCCAUAAACCUAUAUUAAUUCUCUAAUCUCUGUCACGUGGCCAUGUGUAAGCUUAAUAAUUAGGGUAUAUGAGCCCAUCUUAUAUUUUUCACUCUCCAUGAAUGGAUUCCUGGUGAUUUUUCAAUUCUCUAUAAACAUGUCCUCUCCCUAUUUUAAAUCUAUAUAAAUUUAUAAAUUUUAUAUUCAUUAAGCGAUGUGACGCAACGCCCCUUAAUUUGGAAAUGUGGUCCUAUUAUUUUUUUUAAUUAAUUGAUUUUUUUUUUUCAAUUUAAAAAGCUUGGCAUUGCAAUAUGAAGAGUCUAUAUAUUAAUUGAUUCCCCAUUAAUAUUUUUAUUUUUUUAAUUAAUUAAAUUUUUUUUCUUAUUUAAAAAGCUUGAAUAAUGAAGAGUCAUAAUAUAAUUAAUUAAAAAAAAAUAAAAAUCAUCUUAAAAACUUAGAAUAUGAAGUCAUAUAUAUUUAAUAAAUUUUAUUAAUAUUUUUUAUUUUUUUUAAUUAAUUGAUUUUUUUCUCAUUAAAAAGCUGGAAUAUAAAGAGUCAUAUAUAUAUAUUAUAUAUAUAUAUAUAUAUAAUAGUAUAAUAUAAUAUUAUAUAUAUAUAUAUAAGAAGAAAAUAAAAAGUCAUACUUAAGAAGCUUGAAGAUAUGAAGAGUCAUAUAUAUUAAUAAAUUUCAUUAAUAUUUUUUUAUUGUUUUAAUUAAUUGAAUUUUUUCUUUUCCUAUUUAAAAAGCUUGGAAUAUAAAGAGUCGUAUAUAUUAAUAGAAGAAAAUGAAAAGACAUCUUAGAAUAUGAAAGAUCAUUUAUAGUCUAUAUAAAUGAUUGCACUUAUACUCAUUUUGAAUGAAUAAGAAAUGAUAUACUAAAUACUAUCUAUUUUGUCUCAAGAAAUUGUUCGCAUCUACUUGCAACAAUUAACCAUAUUUAUCAGGUUCUUCUUUAAUUUGAAUUUGAUGCUUUAUUUGUUUACUUAGAUUUUUCUACCGUAUAGUAUAUUUUAAAUUACGUGGGAUUCGACUCUUUCAAUUUAAGGUAAGUUUCUUUUAGAAUUACUAUAUUUUUUAAUAUUUAUUUUUGUUAUUUUGGUUACUAUGUUAUAAAUUUUUAUAUUCAUUUUUGUUUACAAAUUAUAUUGUCUCCAUUAUAUAAUGAUUUGAUUGUAUUGAAAAUUUUGAUAGAUUUGUUUAUAUCAGGGUUUAGAAUUUUUGAAAUGAUUAAUUAUUACGCAGACUAAUGCCAUAUUUAGCGAAAUCUAAUGGAUAUGUUGGAAUUUAUUUGCUAAAUAUAUUUUCUGUUGUUUCUAAUUAAACCUACACGUCACUACCUAUAUAAUAAGACAUCUAUAUAAAGCUCUCGGAAAUAGAUGUGGUUUGAUACCUAUCGUGAUGCUUUAGUGUUAAAAAUCAGAAUAUUCAAAAAAAAAAUAAUCUUCAUAUUUUUCAAUAUAUUUUAAAAUUAUUAAAACUUUUAAAGUAAAUAUGUUCUACUCUUUACAAAAUAACUUAUAGAAAUAUAAGAUCUAAAAUUUUGGGUUUAAAUUUUAAAAGAUUAUAAUAUAUCUACCCGUCGCAUUGCGCGGGUCACUACACUAGUAAACUAUAAUAACUAAUAACAAAAGCUGAGGUGGUAUGACCUCUUUUUUAGAAUUUUUUUCUGAUUUUUUUUUUUAUUUUGACAAUUAUUAUAAUAUUUCAAAUUCCACAUAACAGUCUACAUUUAAUACUAGCCGUUUCUAUUGGCAAUUAAUUUUUUAAAUUAGAAAACGGAUCCUCAUAAUUGCAAUUGAUAGAUUAUUAUAAACUAUGAUAACUAGUUGUCAAAUUAUACCAAAUAUAGUCCAUCUCUCUUUUUCAAAAUAGGCUCCGUAGUUGUUGUCAUUUAAGAAAGUCUUUUCAAGUUAUCAUAUUUUUUUCUCAUUACAUUUCACAAAUUAAUUUAUUAUAAGCCUUUUCAAGUUACCAUAUUUUUUCUCAAUAUAUUUCACAAAUUAAUUUAUUAUUUGUUACUAUUUAAUGACCCACCAUCUUUCUUUCUAAAACUGCAUCUUAUUUAGUAACUAUCACGGAACAUUAUUUCUAUUAUUUAUAUUUUUAAAAUUUCAUUCAUUCUUAAAAUUACUUCAAGUUAUAUAUACAGUAACUCCUAAAUAAUUUGAACCUAUAAUUUUGCUCUCGCAGGCGGCGGAGGCGGACGCAGGAUGGGAGGUUUGGUUAAACAGGUUUUGGGCUUUGCUCACCAUUAUCACCUCAACUCUCAUCUAUUGUUUAUUAUCCACAAAACCAUAUUUAGAUUCUCAAGGUAAGAUUAUUUUAAAAUAAAAAUUAUUAAGUUUUUUUUAUUUUUUUUUUGAAUUGGCUAAAGUGUCUUUUUUUUUUUCUCUAUUUUGUUUUAUUUUUGUAAUAUAAUAGGAGAGAAAAAUACAAAUACAAUAUUUAGGAGAAUGAUGAGCUCAAUAAAAAACAAUGUACACGAUUGCAACAACUUUAAAUACAAUAUCGUCGAUGUCGUCGCCAGCACCAUCAACAUCCCCCAUUAGAUGAAAUGAUAUUAUGAGAUAAUAGGAAACUUACAGAGUUUUUUUUUUUCUCGCUUUUAUUUUCUCUUUUUUUUAGAGGCAAUAGAGAAAUAAGUUUAUAAAUGAACGUUGUUGUAUGAUUUUAUUCAAACUAGGAUUUAUAGAAUAGAAAAGGUUGAUUAUUGCUUCUAUAUACAUUUGUGAGGAGCGUGCCUUUUUGUUUUUUUUUUUUUGUUUUUCCCUACUUCUCUUUGCUUUUUUUCUUUUUUUAAUUUAUUUUUGUUUCACUUCUUGGCUAAAUUCUUAUAAGUUUAUAAGUUACUUUUUUUUAUUUGCUUUAUUGUUGGGUAAAAGUUCAUGAGUUUCAUUAAAAGGUAGGUUUAAAAUUUAGACUAUCCACUUCAUUUUAUUUUUGAAAAAAAAACUCUUUAUGAUAGUUUUAAUGUUAUUUAUUUUCUCUUCCUCUCAAAGUUUGUAAUGGAAGAAAAUAGAAAAAAAAAGGAGACUGAUAUUUCUGGAUUUUUUUCCCCUUUGAAUUGAAUAAUACAGCAACCCUAUUUAUGAAGGAAUAGACAAUUUUUUUUUUUAUCUUUCUAAAUGUUGGCCUUUAGUACAAUUUUGAGAUAGAUAUUGCAACCAUAAAAAUACAGUAGCACCCUCAAUUCAAAAAGAUAACAAUCAAUCUUUUUUUUUAUUUUAUUACGUUAUCAUGUACAUUUUAAAAUUUUAAUUUUUCCUAUUAUUUUUUACCUCAAAAAAAAUUUAAAAUUUUAUUUCUAUUAUCUACCCGCCGCAUCGUGCGGGUGUCCCCACUAGUAUAUAUUAAAGUGUGAAUUAAAGUGACACUUGAGCAAGUCCAAACUUGGAUCACAAACUAACCUUUGAUUCAUUGUACCCAACUAAAAAAAUAAUAUACAUAUAGAUUAACUUCUAGCUCCUUUUAGUUUUUCUCUUUCCUUGUGUUAUGUACUCUCUCUCUCUCUCUCUCUUCAAUCUUCUUCUUUUUUUCUUUUUUUUUUUUUAAGGUGGGGGGAAACAAUCUAGCUUUAUGAUUUCUCUACCUAGAUCAUGUGGAGUGAUGCAUUAUCCCUACUUUUAACUUUGUAUAUGGAUAAUGAGGAGAGAAAAUUGAUUAAUUGCUUUCCUUUUGACCUAGCAACCAUAUUCAUAGCAAUUUUUGGCUAGGUCCCAAAGAAAUUGGUAGUUAGGAAAUGAAUUAAAGAUAUAUUAGGUACAUUUAAGUGAUUUUUUUUACGAGGGCGCGAAUACCGAUCAUGUUCCUAAUCCCACGUAUAAGUUUUUUUAAUUAGUUAGGUUAAUUAAAUGAUUAAAAUUAUCCAUCCAUGUGCUUUCAUUUUGAGCCCGAAUCAAUGAUAUGUCCCAUAAGCCGUAAGUCAUCACUUUUUUUAAAGCCAGUGAGUUCUUUUCAAUCUUUUUAAGUUCAUGAAGGAUGCUAUCCAGUAAAUCAAUCUGAUAGGAAGCAACUCAAGACUAGUCUUAGUGUAUCUGCUCGCAUGAAUUUUAGAAAUUAAUCAGAUGACUCAUACCACGUACAUCGCAUGAAAAGCUGUAUAAGUCGUAAGAGAGGUAAUAGGACAGAAAAUAGCGAGAUUUAUGCCAUUAGAUGGUAUUUCGAUCAAGCGGCUUACAACCAACUUAGAUACCAUAUUGUUAUUGAACAUGUAUGAUUGAAAAUGAUUUAGAGAUAAUCUUAAAAGAGGAAAAGGACAUGAUUAAAAAUUCCAUGUUUUAUAAUGAUUUGGGAGGAGCAUGAGAGCCUGAAUGAGUCAAAAGACCAAAUUGGGAAGCAUGUGAGGGGAAACUUUGUUGCCUUUAUUUUGUAUAGAAAAACAAUGAGUAGGCACCACAAGCUUUUGAUCCCUUGUGAUGCAAUUUUAUUUAAAAAGUCCCCUCAAUCUAAUCAUUAAUAAUCUAUCCAUACCUGCUAGAGAGCUUCUCACACUAUCAAUCUUUGUUGAAACCAAAAAAUUAAAGAGCACCAUAAGAACACGAACGUAAAUCACGCUAACAGCAAACACAGAGAAACUACAUAAAUCACUCCGUAGAGAAGCAUCAAGGAUUAUAUGAUUUAGCUGAACAUAAGAAGUUUUACUACGGAAAUGGUAAAAAUUCGGGAGGAAAAUGUGAAACCAAGAUCAAAAGCAAUUUCUCUAUAAAGAUUCCUUGUUGGAACUUGGAACAUAAUAGCGAGGACAAGCAAAACACUCUGAAACUCUUGAGUUACGCAUCCGAAGUCUCAAAUUCGAGCCAUACUAGAAAUUAACUAUACACGGUCCUCUAUAUAUACAUUGCUUGAACCGAAAAUACUUUUCGACAUUACCGAUUCGGGCCCUUAAUGGGUGGGGGGGCCCAAAAGAAAAAGAUUUUGACCAGUCAACGGCCCAAUACGCAAAGCCCAAGAGCCUAGAUUUGGGCCCUCAUGAGGCUUUGGAAGCCCAAAACUUACUCCAAGUCCAGUAGGAGAAAUCCUUUUUAGAUUUUCGUGCUCAGUUAAUUAAGGCUUCGUUGUUUGGGAUGGAAACUAUUCUAUUUGUUUUUGUACGUUAUAUUAUAUUGUGCAUAUUGCAAUGAGUUGGUUAAGAUAUAUUCUCAGCGGUCCCACCAAAAAUAAAGAAGCGUAUUUUUAUAUGCUUUCGCUUCAGUGCUAUAGCUCUAGGGGGCCCUCAAUACCAAAGGGGCACUAAAAUUCAAACAAAGCUAUUUUUUCCUAAUUGUAAUUUGACACGCUAACUUAAACUUGAUGCAACAAAAAUACCUACCAUUUUUUGCAAUGUGACGCACAAAGCUUGAUUCGGUGGGAGAAAAAAAAAAAAAAAAAAACCUUCCUGGAUUUUGUUUAAUACCACUAGGCUUGAUUUGAUUUAAACAAAUAAACUUUGGCCCACAUUAGGUAGCAACAUUGCAUAAUUAGUGACUUGCUUUUUUUCGCCAAAUCAAGAAUAGUAAAACAAAUUGACAUAAGAAACAAGAGGGUCAUUUUGAACCAAAUUGAAAUUAGUGGAUCGAAUUGCAUUGUAGAAGCUUAGCUGAUGCACUGGACAUACAUAAAAGAGAUAAAAACUCAACAAGAAAAAUGAGAAGCAGCAAAAUAAAACACCGAAAAUGGAGAACUUUAUACACAUUUCAGUAGCAAUUAGGUGAAAUAUUUUCUUAAAAGACAUAGUGAGAUAAGAUACAACAUGGCCUGAUACAGUAAUAAAUGUUUCAGUGAACAUUUUUAACACACUCCACCACAAUUAGGAUUCUCAUGGACUCCCAGUAACAGGCAUUGGAUUGAUCAACCAUUCAAAUGGUUUGGAGCCUUCUCAACAUCACCAGUUUGCCCCUCACCAUGAAACCAGACCAAUUCCAAACUGACUGACUUAAAAAUGCCUGCGACUGCGAGUCUGAGACUUUACACACACCCAUUUCCGACCCCCCAGCAUCAGCGAGCUAAACAGAGUUAUUUCGAAGAAAAGCGUUUUUGGCUUAAGCAGGUGUUACAUCAGCACAACGCGAUUGCGUGCUCAGCUGUGGCAGAAGGCAUCAGCAUGUACAAGCUCGACGGUUCGGGUAUUUCGGCAGCAGAAGACUGCAGUUCCCUCUUUGACAGAAGCUCCAGAAAUUCCGGAGGGUUAGAAGUCGGAAGCUGAUCUUUCCUCGAGAGAAGCUCUUUGAAUGAGUCGAGAGCUUGUCGCAUCCAGUCAUACCGGCACAGGUCAUAGGCUUCGGCUGCAGGGACCUAUUGAUAUGGAGGAGAAACGUUAGAAGGGCUUCAAUGCUUUUUUUGGUCUGGCUUUUGGAACAACUUUUCUACUCCAAAAGCAAAAGCCUAGUAGAAGCUUCAAUCUGAAGUUUUUGCUUUUUUUUUUUUUCACUACAAAUGCUUUACAUGAGGUUAUUAACCAGAAAAACUAUAGUGCUACUUUUACCAGCUCUAUUCAAAAAGCGCUACUGUAUAAACCCCAGACGAGCCAAACAGACAGUAACUUGGGGUUUCUCACUUUUUUGCCAUGAGAGGAAAGGCACAUAUCAGGUUACAAUAUAAGAUGAAAAUUUAUGAAAUACCGACCCAUUGUCGUCCGUGGUUCGCCUGCUCAGGCCAAUACUCGAGCUCCUCCGUAACUUCUAGCGCAAAUAUAUAACCUUUACAAGCUCCAUCGGAGCUGCAGCUGUUUUGCCUACUCUUGCUUCUGAAUAUCCAUUCUCCUAAUGGAUUUUCCUAAAGCCAACAAAAAUAACAAAAAAUUUAGGACAUUAUUAUAUUGAUAAUUUAACUUAAUUUGAUUAAAAUUUUACUAUACAAUGGACGGUAAUAUCUGAUAACUUACGACAGAAGGCGGUAAUUAUUACUAUGUAAUCACCAAAAGUUUCAUGACAAGUCCUCUUUUUGUAUUUUCUUUUUCUUUUUCUGGUUUCACGUAACUAUCAAUAAUCUUAAAGAAAGUUUCAAAGUUAUAUCAGGAUUUUUUAAAAAAAGGGAUCGACAUCGCUGUGUCACCCUCCUUGACAAAUCAGCAACUAUUAGUAAGAAGAUAGAUAAGUUUACUAUUCUUUGAGACUGAAUAGAGCUUUUCUGGUCCCAUAUAUUGUACUUAAAAAAACAAGAUGAAGCUUCCAGGAAACUUCCUCAUCUUGUAAGAUACCGAUGGUUCUUAAAAAAAAAAGAAAAAGAAAAAGAAAAACAACAACUGCAGCGCCGAAAACUAAGGAAAAAAAUAAAGGCAUUACAACAACCAACAAGAACAUCAUCAUCACCCAACAAAUACAGGUAGCUCAGGAAGCAUAUAACAUGAAAAUUAGUUGGGUGAGUCAGCAUAUCAAUGACAAAGAGGUUCUUUGACUAAGAGGUUAAAGAAAUAAUUUCCGAGGAUAAGCCUCGUUUGAUUUGGAAUACGACAUGUCAAAAUAGGCUAAGAGAGACAUCACUACAAAUUAUUAUUAUGUGUUAAAGCAAAAUUUCGUAGUUAGAAUGGCUACUUUGAGUUUGAUUAAGUACUUUAUUUGGAUGUUAAUCCACUUGUGGACAAAGUCAACCUCUCGUUUUUCUUCCGGAAACUGCUUCGAGAAUCUAGAUAGUAGGUUGUAUUAUUAUUGGAAAGAGAGAAAGAUCACCUCACUUGAUAAAUACUACACUUUAGCCUAAUUAAAGUGUUUUAAAAGCUUAAGAGAGAAUAUUAAAACUCAUGGCCGCAUAAUUCAAAAUGUCGUUUUAAGCCUAGAGAUGAUGCUUGUAUUAUUGAAGUGACAAACGAGAGAUAAGUUUUGAGCUCUUGUAUCUUGAUUAGCCCUUGCUUUAAUCAUCCAUAGUUUUCGAAAUGUCGGACAAAGCUUGAAUGAAUGAUUAUUAACAUAAUUCCAAAAGGAAAAAAAAAAAAAAGAACAUUUGUUCACCUACCAAAAGCUUCUCUCAGUAGCUAUGGUAUGAAUAGUAUGAAAAUGAAUUGCGAUACAAAUAUAUGAGUAUCCCAAUUAAGCAAAUGCCCUAAUUUUCUCGCCAUCUACUCCUUAUCAAGUUACCAAAUGAACGAGUAAAUUGAUCACAACCAAAAUCCAAGGGAAAGAGAAAACUGUAUUUAUUAACCUAUAAACAAUCCUCUCUCAGCUGCUAAAUUAUCAAAUCUAAAUUAUCAAAUCGAAACUGCCUUAUCCAAAUGAAAAAUAUUUCUAAUGUAGAACGAACGCAUAAUUCAAUCAGGAAAAUAUACUCUUAACUAUGUAGAGUUCACAUCAUCAUGACCAAAAUACAAAAACAAGAACCCAUUUUCUCACCCAUCAAAAAUCAUUUCUCAGUUUCCACGGUUUCAAAUUAAAGUCAUAUAUCUAAAUAAAACAAAAUACAUCUUCCAAGAAAGAAAAAGAAGAAGAAAAGAAAAGAGUACAUACAUUGAUAUUACCCCUAACUCCUGCUUCCUCCAAAGCCUCGCGGCAAGCUGCUUCGUGGACAGUCUCAUCAUCCUCCCACCCACCCUGGCAAAAAUAGGCCCACCAAUUUUAGAACGCCCUUUUUAUACGAAAUGAAUCAAUUAUAGAACACAAACUAUAGAAGAGAAGGUGACAAGUUGUGUUCUUCUUACUUUCGGGAAGACGAGAUCACUCCUAUUCGGCGUAGAGAUCAUUAGCACUUCCAACUUCUCAACCAAAUUGCAACAGGGACUCUCCCCUUCUUCCUUGAGUCUAUAAGGAAUACAUCUGCGUGGCCCAAAGGCGACCAAUAUUAAGAAAAUAGCUCCAAAGAUUAUAUCAUAAGGCACAAAAAAAGAAGAGAGAGAGAGAGAGAGAGAGAGAGAGAGAACAAUGGCUUCUUCUACUUCAAUUCCACAAGGGAAAGAACAUGAAAAGUCAAUGUUUUAUACAUCAAUGCAUACGCUAUAUAACUUGAAAAAAGAUGAAAAAAAAGGAAUACUCGUAGCUUCUCUACUCCCAAAAGCAGUCGUUAGUUAAUUAAACUGUUGGUAAACAAAAAUUUUGGAACAUUUUGUUGUCCGUGGCUAGAUAAAAUGAGUUUCUGAGUCCACAAAAGCAAAAGCUUUAAUUUGGAGCUUCUACUUUUGCUACAGUGCAGAGUUGUUAAGGGUACGCAGAUGAGAAAGUGCUUCUUCAAACAGCACUUCUGCAAAAACGAAGAAAUAGAAGAACCUCAACUACACGCGAGGAACAUAAUAUUUCAUCAAACUGACUAUGUUCCAUAACUUUUACUACGUUUACAUUGAAUUGAUUGAAGAACAUUGCUUCACAACCAUUUCAUUCAUAAACCUCCAUAUUGAGGAGUAAACAAACAUCACAAUAACCAAAUUACAAACACAAAUGUUAAUCAAAGUAAUCAAAACAAAAGAAACUAAAUUAGGCAAAAAUAGGGCAAAAGUUAUACCCUGCGACAAGCCGAUAAUUGUUGUCGUAGCGUUGUCGGUGGCGGCCCUUCCGAGCUAACAAUGUCGGCGACAUUACCACUGAGCGAAACCUCCCAAUCAAACACUUAAAUCCCCCCCAAAAAUUUGGGAAAUUUUGGCGAACAAGGGCCAAUAUUACGAGAUUCAAACCCUAGCCAACCGUUUUAUAACCCCAUUUCCUUAUCCUUCACCACAACCUUAUCCACAAACCCUCAGAAAAUUCUCCCCUUUCCCGGGACCCAAAAACAGGGGGCGAAACAGGGGAACCCCACGAAACCCUAAUCUCGAAGCGAACCCUAGCGAAAUUGGAGGGGGGAAAAGGCGAGGGUACGGUGCCCGAAGCGUCCUCGGCUUCGAAUUUAAGGGCUACGAGGUCAACAACCCCUAAACGCGACGGUGCCCGAAGGUAGGGGUUUUUUGACCUACUCCUCUGGUAAUAUUAAAAGAAAAAGGUGUCAUUUUUACACGGCAAGGAGCGUCGACCUCGAGCCCACCAUUGUUGCCAACCUCGAGGCGAUGGCGAAAUGGCGAAGAGGUCGAUGCGAGGACGACGACGACGACGACGACGAUGAAGGCGACGAGGACGAGGACCUUCGAUUGUGAUACGUGUGCGUGUGCGUGUGCGUGUGCGUCGCAACAAGGAGAGCAAAUGCGGAGGUGUGGCUACGGAUCCAUGGCAUAUUAUAUAAUACAAAAUAUUAAAAAAUAAAUAAAUAAAUAAAUAAAUAAAUAAAUAAAAGAGAGAGAGAGAGGGGGUGAAUAGAGACGAGGAGAAACUUCGAAUUUAAUUAUUUUAUUUUUUUAAUUAAAUUUAAUGUAACAACACAUUAACGACAAAGCGAACAGCACGCUAUCUCUUUUUUUUUUAAUAAAAAACUCUUAACACAUGCGUGCGUUUAUCGCACCUAGCACAGUUAGAAUGUUAGAUAAAGAUGAGUGAUUAUUUUAUAAGAAAAACUUCAAAUACACCCCAUGUGGUUUCACAGUUUCUCAUUUUAGUAUCAUGUGGUUUCGUAUUUUCUCACUUUAGUAUCCUGUGGAACCACAGGGUACCAACUUGACACACUUUAAAUCAUAAAGUAUUAAAGCGAAAAAGUACAAAACCACAGGGAGGUAUUUGAAGUUUUUCUUAUUUUAUGUUUUUAGCUAGGUUUAUAUUUAAAUUCUCGAAGUAUGCGACUAUUACUGAUUGUACGUAGAACAGUUGGCUAAGAAUUUGAUAGUUGAAAUUCCAAGCUUGUUUUAAUAUAACAAAAUAUUAACUGCGAAGCGAAUAGCAUGCUGUCUUUUGUUUUUUUUUUUUAAAGAAAACUCUCGAAACAUACGGGUGUCCAUUGUACCUAACGCAGUUAGAUAAAAAUUGAUUAUUGUUUUAUAUUUCUAGCUAGGUUUAUAUUUAAAAUUUUAAAGUGUACGACUAUUACUGAUUGUAUCUAGCGUAGUUGGCAAAUAAUUUAAUAAUUAAUAGUUGAGAUUCCAAAUUUGAUACCUAAUUAUUUCAUACUCUUAGCUGAGUUCGUAUCUAAAAAAUGAACAAUUUGUGUAACAUUCUAUCUCUUUUUUAAAAAAAUAUUUUUUGGAAUAUACGAUUGUGGAAUUGAUCCCAAUUACUUCAUAUUUGUAAUUAAGUUUACAUAUAAAAAAUAAAAAAAUAAAUUUAUUUUUGAAGCAUAUGACUAUUACUGAUUGUACCUAGUGUAGUUGGCUAAGAAAUUAAUUAUUAGUAGUUGUUUGAUGCCUAAUUAUUUUAUAUUUUUAGUUGAGUUCAUAUCUAAAAAAUGAAUGAUUUGUAUAACAUGCUAUCUUUCUUUUAAAAAUAAUUUUUGGAGUAUACAGUUGCGAAAUUGAUGAUUGGUAUUCGAAAUUUCAACUUCGAAAUUUAAUUGCUUCAUAUUAUUAUUAUUAUUAUUAUUAUUAUUACUAUUGUUAUUAUUUGGUUUUAGCUUAAUCUAAAUGUAAAGUCCAACUCAAUUAUAAAAAAGUUAUUUAUAUAUAAAAUUUCAACUAUUAGAUCAAAAUCAAAUUGAUAAGAUCUCAUAAAUUUAUUUUUUAUACGUAUUCUUUAUAAUUCUUUUAACUUAUUAUUCAUGAGUCAGCUCAUGUUCGGCUUUUUUUAACUUAUUGUUUAUGAGUCAGCUCAUGUUUAGCUUCUUUUAACUUAUUGUUCAUGAGUCAGCUCGUGUUCGGCUCGUUAUUCACGAGCUGAAUUUUUUAGCUCGAUACUUUAACGAGUCAGCUUAUGUUCAACUUGUUUAUGAAACGAGCCGAAUACAAGCCGGCCUCAGCUCGCUCGUGUUUGGCUCUUUGACACCCAUAAUGAUAGAUUCCUCAAAAAAAAGCAUAAAAACUAUUUAAAAAAUCAAAAAAUAUAUAUAUAUAUUUACAAUUUCUAUUUUUGAUCAAAAUUUUGGAAAACAAAAACAUUAUUUUUCUAUAAAAUUUGGGAAAAAAUUGAAAUAUUUCUUUUUUCUAAAAAUUGGUCUGAUGAAAGUUAUUUUUCAAGUCAAAAAACUAUUUUUUAAGAUAUUUUCUAAAAGCCAAACAUAGGUAAGCUAAAUUGUAACAAUUAAUUUCUUUGGAGGUAAAAUUUUGAUGAUAGAGAUUUAACCAAUGGAGUUUAUUUUACUAUUAACGGAUAAAUACAUUAAAUUUAGAUGCUAUAUACUUACUAAAUUUCAUCGCAUACAAUGAAUUUGAUCUAUUUUUAGUAAAAUAGCUAUGAUCGCAUUCACCACUAAGGCAAAAGACGCACUAAUUAUUAAGUAAUUUAUGUUUUUUUUUUUGUGUAUAAUUGAGCCUUCAAAUUUAAUUUGUAUAUGAUUUUUGGAUCAUGAUCAUGGGGUACCGAAUGGACGGCCGAGAUUGAUCCAAGUGGACGUCCACAUAUAUACACCACUUUUUUGGGGCACCAACUUGUAAAAUUUUCUCAUCUUAAAUAUGAUGAUGUUGAAACUAAAGCAAGCAUUAAAUUGUGGGGACGUGAUCACAUCAUUUUCACACAUUUAUUGGCCACAAAAGUGAAUAAAUUUAUAAGUAGUUUUGAGAAUAUAUAUAUAUAUAUAUAUAAAAUUAGUAUUUCAAUUGUGUCAAUAAAUGAAAAUGAAUAGGUAGGAUUCUACAAAAUAUUCAAGAAAGGUAGGUUGUGUUUGUUUUUUGAAUUUCAGAGCUUAAACUUCUGAAAAAAUUAAUCGUCGGCAUUUGUUUUGACACUGAAGUCGUAAUAUCAUUAAUUCAAACUUUCUCGACUUUCAUGGAGUGGAGGACGAAGUCAAAUUUGCGACACUCACGAGUUUCUCACUUUUCAACUUUCUGCUUCUAAACAACUCCUUUGUUUAUGCUUUUUCAACGUGCACUGCUGAGGUUAUUGUCACUAACGGUCCAUUAAUUAUUUAUUAGAUUACUUAAUUUAUUUUUACUAUUUAAUUACUAGUGAUCAAUUUGAUCUUUUUAUUGUAUUUUUUUUGGAUCAAUAGUGGAGAUAGUCACACGUAAUCGAUGACAUAAUGUGGUCAUAUUAUUAAGAGGAGUUAAUGUUACCUCUACAUUUAUAUGUACGGUGUAAAUUUUAUACCCUAAUUUAAAGAUUAAUACUUACGAAUUAUUAUCAAAUUUUAGAUUGGUUUCGCGUAAAUCUUACACCAUUCUAACAGAGUGUACAUGUUUCAUUUUUCUACAAAAGCUUGUGGUGAUAUAUAAAUAGUGGAUCUUAAUUCUAGUGUAGUAAUUGUGUAUCUUCUCUCUCAUUUUUCUCUUUUCAUCCUUUUUUUUUUUUUCCUCUCUUAUGUCUCUUUAAUUUCAUAUUUUAAGCUUCAGUUCCAUCAUUUUCUUCUUUUUUUUUUUGGCUAAAUUACAGAAAACUCUUUGUCAAAACCUGAUUUUUCACUUCCCUCCUGUCAUUUAAAAAUCUACACUUUGCCUCCUUAUAAAGUAAAAAAUAUUCACUUCAUCCUCUACCGUUAGUGAUCCGUUAGGUUUCGGUUAUAAGAUAUUUUUUAUGCCAAAAAUAUCCUCCGCCUUCUCUACUGCUGCUUCGCCCUUCUCCGCCUUGCCGCCUCGCCCUUAUCCACUGCCUCGCCUUCACCCACAUCUCCGUUCGAGCCUACAAACACCCCCUCGCUCUCCUCUGCCACCUCGCCUUCGCUCUCGUUGCCCUUGCCCACCUCUUCACCCACGCUCAUCUCAAUUUUCUCCCUAUUGUCACCGAAAUGGAGGAGCGACGAGGGUACAGGAGGAGAAGGGGAGCAGGUGGAGAAGAAAAUAGAGUGGAACCGCAGCUGAUUGAGGCACGAACCGCGAUCGAUCGAGACGGCGAAUGAGCAAGAUGAGGAAAGAGAUAAAAAUGAUGAGGGACAAAAUGGUCAUUUUAUCAUUACAGUUAACACCGUAUCUUCCUGUGAAUAUUUUUUAUUUUACAAUGGGGCAAAGUGUAGGUUUUUAAAUGACAGAGGAGGAAAACGAAAAAUCGGUUUUGACCGAAAGAUUUUAUAUAAUUUAGCCUUUUUUUUUUUUUCCUCUCCUAGCAUAGCACCUAGAUAUUCCUCUCCUAGCAUAGCACCUAGAUAAGGUUGGUGUCUUUAAAUUCUUUUCUUUGAGAAAAGAUAAGGUGGGAGUUAGUAUUGAAAUAGGGUAGUGAAACAAGUAUGAUUAUUCCUCUCUCUCUCUCUCUCUCUCUCUCUCUCUCUCUCUCUCUAAGUUAUUGCCUACAUUCACUGAAUUCCCCCCAUUUUACCAACCACACUCAAUAUGCCCUUCAUUCUAUCUCAUAUUUUUGAUCUAGCUGUUUCUGUGAAACAACCGUUGUGCUCUAAAAAUUUAAGCUGUUAAAAAACGAUGUUUAAACAUUUUUAUAUUUAACACUCCUCUCACGUCUGGGUUCGAGACUUUUUAGUCGGCCCAUGACGUGGGCUUAAAUUAAAUGGGAGGAAAUUAAUAUGCUAAGAGCCUGGCGUGACUCGAACUCAAGACUUCCUGUUUUGAUACCAUGUGAAAUAAUCGUUGUACUCUAAUAGCUUAAGCUUUUAGAGUACAACGGUUGUUUCACAGUUUCAACUUUUAAAUAAGAUUAAAAGAAAAAAAAACUCUAAACUAAUCUAAAAUAUACAUACGCUACGAUGAAAGGCUGAUAAAACAUGCACGGUGUGUGAGAUCAUGUGCGCGAAUGCACCAAAUCUAGCUAGGCAAUAGUUACACUCUGCGUAAGCGCGUUUCUCUAUCUAUCAGUUUAAACUUUUUGUCUUUUGUUCGAGCGGCCGUUUAGCAAUUUCUCCUCACUACAUACAACACGAGAGAGAGUUUCUCCAUCUCUAUAAGAGCUUAAAUUUUUCUUUAAUUCGAGCAACUUAACAAUUUCAUCUUAUCUGUACAUAAUGUGAGUUUAGAGCAUUUCUCCACCUACCCGCUUAAACUUUUACGAAAACUCAAACUAUUAAAUCUAAAUAUUUACUUUCUGAUAACUUAAGUUCUUCGAGAACAAUAGUUGUUUUACAUUUUCACGUUUAAUUUCAGUCCGCAUGUUACACAUUUCUAAUAAAGUUAUAAUAGCUUAAACUUUUAAAAGAAAAAAAAGAGAUUAUUUUAUAUAUUUCAUGUAAUUUAACACGAACGAGUUCACAAUCUCUCUCUCUCUCUCUCCCUCUCUCUCUCUCUCUCUCUCUCUCUCUCUCUCUCCGAAGAUAAUGCAUGAAGCAAAAAUGAAUACAAAGUUCCCAACUACUAAAUUAAAUAUGAGUUAUAUAAGCCCUAGCCCUCGUUUGCUGAACACGUCAACUGAAUAAAUCUAAGGCCAUGCAUGCACCCUCGUGAAAUAAAUAGCAGCUUUGUUUGACGUACGUGGGAAAGGGGAGAAAAAUUAAAAUAUAGGAUUAAUUGCAUACAGGUCCUUACAAAUAUAUUAAAUUAUAAAUAUAUUUCUAUAAAAAUUUUAAUAUUUUUAAAUAUGUUCCUGCCAUUAGCUAGAAUCCGUUAAAAAAAUAUAGUUAACCAUAGAUUAAAUAUUUAAUCCUAAUUAGUUUAUGAGAUAACUUGAUAUUUUUACCUAUUUUAUAUUUUACUGUUGUGGCUUUUAAAGUGACAUAUAUAUUUGUGAUGGCAAAAUUGAUAUUUUACUUAUUUACUGUUAAAAUAUAAACAAUUCUUUAACGGUAAUAAAUCAGAACGACAUAUUUGAAAAUAUUAGAACUUUUGUACAGAGAACAUAUAAAAAUUAAAGAUUGUAGAAAUAUAUUUAUAUAUAAUUUAUUAUAUUUGUAGGAACCUGUAUGCAUUUAACCCUAAAAUAUAUAUUUAUGUGGACAUUAAUAAGCCUUUGUAGGUGUAGCCUCCUAGUCAUUUCCAUCCACAUGCAUGUAAUAAAAUAGGCCAAAACUAAAGAAUUAAUUAACUAGAUAACAACCCCUCAACUAGCUUUGAUUUGUCCCUAUAUAUUGGAAUUAAAUAUAUAGGCUCCUCAAGUAAUCUGAUUUUUCUUUCUUUUUCUUUUUUUGACUAAUAUGUAACCCUUUAUUAACUUAUUCAUUUUUAAUUAGGUAAAAAUAUACAGAACUUAAUAGGCCACUUUAAGUCGAUUGUCUAAUCUUUUAAAAUUUUAAUUUUAAUUCAAUCUUUCAAUUUGUUCGAUUUGAAUUACUUUGACCCUUAAUGAGGUAUACUAAUUAUAUAAAUCUGUAAAGAUAAAUAAUACAUUCAAAUUUUAAAGGUAAAGUGUCACUAACUGACUCUAAUCAAUUGUAAAUUAGAAGAUUAAAAAGUAAAGUCAAAUAUUGAAAAUUUGAAUAGUCAAUAAAUUAAAAUAGUUCGGAAUUCAAAUAAAUUUUGUACAGUUUUACCUUAAAAUUAUUAUAUAAUUUGAUAGAAUCAUUAAUAAAUUUUACAAAAUUUCAAAAUAACCUACAUUUGAGGGAUCUCCACAGAUUUUUACCAGUAAAAAUUGUCCUUUUCCAUAUAUAUAUAUAUAUAUAUAGUACGUCUGGUAUGCUUAUGGAAGCACGGAGCGCUCCGUGCUUCCAAGUUGUUUUCGAUGUUCGGACUUUCGAAUCGACGAUUGGCUCUGUUAGAGUUGAUCUAGAGUAUUUGAAAUACCUAAAAAAUAAAUUUUGUGAUUUUUCGAUAUUAUUUGCCUAGUGAUCGAAGGGGCUCAAAAUCAAUAAUUUUAAUGGCCGUGGUGAGCCGGUUGCAAUUUUAACAGUGUAGAAAUAUUCAAAUCACAUGAAAUUUUGAUAGAAAUUUUUUUAUACCAUAUAAAACAAGAUCAAUAAUUUUGAUCUAAAAUUUUAAUGUCAUAUCAUCAUAUUUUGUAAGAUUUUUAUUUUUAGCCGUUGAUUUUGAGCCACUUCAAUCACUAGGCAAAUGAUAUCGAAAUAUCGCAAAAUUUAUUUUCUAGAUACUUCAAAUAUUCUAGAUCAAGUCUAACGGAGCCGAUCGUCGAUUCGAAAGUCCGAACAUCGAAAACAAAGUAGAAACACGGAGCCCUUCGGGCUUCCAUAAGCAUCCUAGCCGCGCUCUAUAUAUAUAUAUAUAUAUAUAUAUAUAUAUAUAUAUAUGAUAUAUAUAUAAUAUAUAUAAUAUAUAUAUAUAUAUAUAUAUUAUAUCAUAGAGUGCCAGGUUACUAUGCUAUCGGAAGCACGCGAGCCUUUCGUGCCUUCCGCUCGUUUUCAUGUUGCGACUUUCGCAUGCGUUCGAUCGGCUCCGUUAAAACUUGAUCUAGAGUAUUUUGAAGUACCUAGAAACAUAAAUUUUAUGAUUUUACGAUAUCAUUUGCUUAACGUGACCACGAAGGGGCUCAAAUCACGGUGAAAAUAAAAAUCUUACAAAAUGUAAUUAUAAUAUGAAUUAAAAUUUUAAAUCAAAGAUAUUGACUUGUUUUUAUAGUGAUAAGAAUUUUCUAUCAAAAAAUUGUCACGUGAUUGGAUAUUUCUACACGGUUAAACUUUGCAAACGGCUCACUACGUGGCCAUUAAAAUUUCCGUUGAUUUUGAGCUCAUUCGAUCACUAGCAAGCAAUGAUAUCGAAAAAUAAUAAAAUUUAUUUUCUAGGUACUUCCAAAUACUCUAGAUCAAGUUUAAACGAGCCGAUCGACGAUUCGAAAGUUCGCUACAUCGAAAACGAGCUGUGAAGCACUGAAGGCUCUGCUCCGAUAGCUAGUAGCCAUCCACAUCAUUAUAUAUAUAUAUAUAUAUAUAUAUAUAUAUAUAUAUAUAUAUAUAUAUAAUUUGUAUGGUCUUUUUCAAUGUGAACUUUAUGCAGUGAUUGGUCUAUUCACGAAAACGACUUAAUUGAUUUGGUGCAUUGCCCAAUCCAUAUAAAUACAAAUAUAUAUAUUCACACCAAAGUACAAAUUAAUUACUUUUUUGAAUAAAAAUCAACAUAUGAAACUCACUGUCCACGUAAUGAAUUAGCUCAUUUUCCUUGGGGUUAUAAUUAAUUAUUACGACUUUUCUCACACCUAUAAAUAAUUAUUAAUAAUGUCCCCAACAAAAAUAUAUAGAUUUAAUUAGGUGUGAAUAAUUUUUAUUGGUGUCCAUGUAACAUAUGAUUUGUAGAGUGUAUUGUUGUUUGAUGAUAUGGAAUAAGGCGACCUUUUAAUGAUCAAUGUUAAUAGAUAAUUUUGGUUAAAACUUUGGCGGGGAAUUUCUAAUUUGCUGUCACAUGUUAAUUAAUAUUAUGUCCCUCCAAGAAUUUAGCGGGUGUUUUUUAAUACUAAAUCUAAAAUAAAUAAAUAAAUAAAUUCUAGAGGAAAGGUUUAUAAUUCUUGAAUAGUACAAAACUGACCCAUGACUGCAGAUCAGGGCUCUCAGCACGAAGGUUUAUCGGACAAUUCCAAUAAAAUUUUUGCUUUAUAUAUAAGAAAAAUAUAUAAAUCAUAUUACGAAGAAUUUGCCUCUAUAAUAAUUGUUCCUACUUUUAGCCGUGAUAUGAACUUCUACAUAAGUAUUGUUCAAGUAAAGCUUUUCGGAAAAUGAUAACAAUAUUUAUUUACCAAUGUGAAGAAUCUACUUUUGAGAGUUGAUAAGAAUAAAAACCUAAUAUUGUUUCUUUUUUUUUUUUCUAUUCGAGAAUCGGUCCUUUAUCUCUGUAUUGACGUUCAGAAUUUUUUCACAGAUGAGUGAUGCCAAAUUAAAAGAUUUAAGCAUUUUGGAAAGAACUUUCAUUUGGGAUUACGUGUACUGAGAAAAUAAUACACUUAUCGCAAUGAGUCGCCUAAUAUAUAUAUAAUUUCUAUGUCCUAUUUUAGAAAAUGAAACAACAAUUAAUGUACCUUUGUAUAUUUUUGUCUCAACUCUUUUUCUGAGCCUAACUUUUCAUCUAUAUCUUCUAUUACUACAAACAAGAACACAAACAUAGAAGAAAAGAAUUGUGCAUUUGAAAGAUACAACCCAUCACAGAUGUAAAUGUUAAAUUUUAAAAAUAUAUAAUUGUUGUCACCUAGUGCAUAUGGUUCUUAUAUAUGUUCUCAAUCAUCUAAUCCUCAAUCAUUGUGCUAAAGUGGGUUAGUGGGAUUUUCAUUUUGUUUUGUUUUUGUUUUUAUCUUCUUUAUUCCUGCACAACACAACAUGUGGACAAUAGAAAAACUAGUAGGUGAUUGUGUAGAAACACAAAGUCCUCAUAUAUUUAUCAACAAGAAGAGAGGGACAAAGAAACACACAUCAUGUGUGGUGGUGGUGUCCUUUUUUUAACUCUUUCUCUUGGUAUAUAUACUCUUAUCAUGUGAUUUGAGGGGAACCCUAUUCCUUUUAUUUUGUUUUUUAAUUUAAUUAAUGGUAGAGCGUUUACUUGGGUCAAUGACUUUGUCAUUUUGUAGUAAUAUACAUAUAUAUAUAUAUAUAUAUAUAUNNNNNNNNNNNNNNNNNNNNNNNNNCUAUAUAUAUAUAUAUAGAGAGAGAGAGAGAGAGAGAGAGAGAGAGAGCCCGUCUUUGGAUACUAUCGAUAACACCAAGAAUCUGAUGCUAUCAAAUUUUUCACCGUUAAAUUUAAUUUUUUAAUUAUUUUUAUCCGUUAGAUUAUACUAUUCAACCAAAUCGACAAUCCACAUCAUUAAAUAUGAUUUAGAGUAUUUGAAAUUUGUAGAAAAUAAAUUUUGUAAUUUUUCAAAAUCAUUAUAAAAUCCAUCAAACGUGUAUAAAAUAAAUGGUCAAAAUCGAAUGACGUUCUAAAAUUGGGUGAUUGGAUCUCUUAAUUUAAGAUCGGAGUUAUUAAUCUUUAUCUAGAUAGUAAAUAAAAUUUUCUAUCAAAAAAUCAACCGAUUCUGAUUUCUUUACACCUUUAAACAAACAAGUAUUCCAUACCGGCCGUUAAAAAUUAUCAAUUUUGAAAUCUUCUGAUCGUAUCAUAAAUGAUUUUAAAAAAUAUAAAAUUUAAUGUCUAAAAAUUUUAAAUACUCUAGAUAAUAUUUAACAGUAUACAUCAUCGAUUUGAAAACUCUAUCAUCGAAAACAACUUAUGAGUACGAAAGCGAUCGAACUCAUAAGAAUAUAGUAGUCUCUCUCUCUCUCUCUCUCUCUCUCUCUCUAUAUAUAUAUAUAUAUAGAGUUCGAAAACUCAGCUUGGUACUAUUGAUAGUAUAGUAGCAUAAUUCUAUACAUAGAAUUAGGCUGGAAUACUAUUAAUAGCACCAAGCUAUUUGUGUUAUUAGUUUUUUAAUCCUUGGAUUAAAAAAUGUGUUGUUAGGAUGAUAUGGGCCCUCUAGUGAGUGGUUGGUUGAAUAGUAUAAUCUAAGGGAUAAAAAUAAUUAAAGGGUUAAAUCUAACGGUGGAAAACUCGAUAGCUUAGUGCUAUCGAUAGUAUCCCAGCCGGACCCUCUCUCUCUAUAUAUGUAUAUAUAUAUAUAUAUAUAUAUAUAUAUAUAUAUAUAUAUGCAAAAUUUUAUAUAUUGUUUUUUGUUUUGGAUUUUCCUGAGUUGGCCCACGAAAAUAUUUUUUUUAUUCACCACUAGAUAAUGUGGUUAGAUGGUAUUCUAAUCUAAUGAGUGCAUGUAUAAUACCUACAGACAUAUUAGGUGAUUUUAUGUUGAGGAGCAUACUAGGUUCGCAAUUGCUUUGAGAGCUGUGCACUAAAAAAAAUUACAAGUGGGGAAAUAAAUAUGUAAGUUGCAUGCUUUUACUGUCGUGUUUUUUAAUUUUUUACUUCCCACAAACAAAAACUCCCAAUAAAUCGUAAUAAGAGCAUAGAAAGAACAACACAUCAGAGAGGCUCAAACACGAGGCUCAAAAACUCCAUAUCUGAUGACGCUUUCUCAAACAACGCUUUUUCAGAAGCUCCGGCGGAGACUAAAGAGGCUCUAAAUUGAAAUAAGGGAACGCGACAAGAUAAAUUAACUACAAAGAGCCCGUAAAACAAGUCAAAAAUGCCAAAAUCAAACAAAAAAUGUUAUGUAGAUCAGGCUACGAGAUUUCAAUAGUCCCACAACGAACAAUGUAAAAGAAUAUAACAAUGUAGAAGAAUAGAAGUCUUAUAUUAGCUAGUAUGAUACUAGUAGGGCUCCCGUAACUUACGCUGUAGAACGCAGCGGAAGUAUUCGUUCGUAUCUUUUUGCGGAAGCGAUUCGUGCUAGAACGCGAUCAGCCCGGAUCGUAGAGGUUGGUUCACGUGUCCUUAGAUCGUCCUUGAAAAUCUUCUUGCGCUCCGAACUCGCGGUGGAUCGAACUACAAACGAGCACGAUCGCAAAUCUACCGUUCAAGUCCCUCUAGAAUAAUAGGUUAAUGGAAGAUGUGGUUUCUCUCUAUUAUUUUCUUAUUCUCUCUCUUUUUUUUGUUCCUUUUUGUACAUCGUUUCAUGUGGGAUCGCCCGUCUAUUUAUAAGGAAUUCCAAAAUCCUAAUAGCGUUAGAAAUAAGGCCAAAUCGGUUAUUAUUUGUUAUCCUAGUAUGAUUACAUUUAUCUCUAAUUAGCUUUCCAAUUUGAAAGCGAGAUUAAUCCUAAUCCAAUUGGAUAACAUAAUAUCCGUCGGAUCGAACCCGCUUAUGGGCGUACCCGAUUCGAUUUAACCGAAUGCCAACAUACGCUGAUAGUUUGGGUUCAGCAGAUUAUUAGUAUUAAUAGACUAAGCUGUUACAUUUGCUAUCAAAACUGGAUUGCCAACAGAAAAUGCGAGAUGAUCUGACAUCACUUUAUAAUCUUCUGACUAUUAUGUGUAACUAAACUUGACAAAGACGAAAGAACCUAACCGAAAGGGUUGGAGCAUUACUAAUUAUAGAUUUAAGCUCCAAUAAAUCGUUAAUACCACUGAGUUGCACUAAUGAGUUGGAUCGUUACGAAGAUAUUAAAUGAAAGUGAAAGAAGCAACCACAUGACACCAAAUUGUACCAAAGUUUGUGUAAUCAAAAGUAUAGGUUGAUUCAGACCAGAUCAGGGUAGUUCAAGACAGAUUAAGCAACAUUUGGUCUGAUUGCUUUUCAUUUAAUGCCUGCAAAAUGUGGAGACCAGAUGAAAUAUAUAGGAAUAAACUAUAGGUUUAUGCUUGCUAUGGUUGAUAAUUCUUAAUAAAGCUAAUUAUAGUAUAAAAUUUGACUAGUUUUAAAAAAUCUUUAAUUCAAACUAGCAUAUAAGUUAUCAUUGUAUUGUGAACUACAAAUAUACUACAAUAGCACCUGUUGAAACAAUUAAUAGACCACCAGGGAUUUAAGCCCAUUUACACACUACCAUUACAAAAUCCGAAAAUUUAUAAUUUACUUAGUGUAGUUUUAUUUUUCUUUUAGCAUAAAAAUAUGCACUUUACUAACCACAAACUAGUAAGGAAUAAUAUCUAAUAUGUCCUCUAAAACUUAAAAAGAUACGUUAUUUAUUCCUGAAUGUCCAAAAUACCAUAGUUGAUUUAAAAAAAAACUCCAAAUGGAUUGGAUUUAGAAGAGUAUUAUGAUAAUUUCAAAAUAAAUUUUAAAAAUUUGAAUAGUAGUGAGGGAUAAAUAAGUAAAAAAUCCCAAAAUAUUAUAUUUUACAAACCAUGGAGUGUUAAUAUAUAGUACUAACCAACUGAUGAAUUAUUCUUUACCACUCCAUAAAAGAAGAAUAAAAAUAAAAAGCAGUGGUCUAGUUACAAGAUAUAGCACUUUGUUUUUCUAUUUUUAUGGCAACAUAAACAAAUACAUGUACUAAUUCCUUCACCUUAACAAGAACACUCUGUGUUCAAAAAUUUCACCUAAUUGGGCACGUCUAGCAUAUUUUUUCACAGUAGCAGGAUCAGAAUAACUUACUCCAUUAAGUUCGCCACCAUAGAACUCAACAGUAACACCUACUUGGUCAACACUAUACUUUGAUUCUGCCCUUCUAAAAGGAACAUCAGCUCUCACAAUUCCGUCUUCAUCUACCAAAACUACCGGAAAUGUUUCAAAAAAAGUAGGCAUACGACGUACAAAAAGCUCGCGCCCUUCUUUAUCUCACAUACAUAGCAAGCACAAAAAACUAAAAGGGGUAAUACCUAAUAUAUCCUUAAAAACUUCUAAAAUAUUUUAUAUAUUCCUUUUUUUUUUGUUUCAAAUAUAUCUUUCAUAUAAUCUCUCAAAAUAUANUACCCCUCAAUACGUUUGAAGAUAUCCGAUUUAUCUCUACUUUUUUUUUUCUUUCUAAAAUAUCCCUCAUAUGUUCUACCGUUAUUGCAAAAUAUUCCUGCAGUUAUCUCCUGUUAAGUUAACUUGGGUUAAACGUGAAUUAAACAUCUACCACAGUUAAAAAAAAUUAAAAUACCAAUUUUGUCCUUAAGAGCAAAUAAGAAAUAUUGGUAACGGUAGAGGGAUAUAUUGAAAAAGACCAAAAGUCAAAAUACUUUUUGUGCCCUUAACUUUAAGGACAAAUAAGAAAAUCAGUGAUGGUGAAAGGGUAUAUUUGAAAGGGCAAAAUAGUAAUUUAAAGAGAUAAUAGAGUUAAUUAACAGAUUUUAACUUUAGAGAUAUAUUAAAAAUAGAUUAGAAUUUUCAAUAUUAGCCUUCUAAGAGGAAUAAAUCAGAAAGUCGAGAACUUUUCAAGGGUGUUACAUCUACGUAACAAAGGGUAUAUGAGCAAUUGCCCCUAAAAAAAAAUAAAAUACCUCUUUUUUCUCCUAACUUAAAAGACAACUAAGAAAAGCUGAUGAUAGUAGACUCGUGUCUUUCAAAAAGAUAAAACAUCAAAAUACUUUCUUUUCCUAACUUAAGGCAAAUAAAAAAAAAUUAGUGAUAGUAUAAAAGUAUAUUUGAAAAUGACAAAAUAAUAAUUUUAAAGAGAAAACGACUAUUUUUAACCGUUCACACUUCACACCGACUGUCCCUAGAGCAAGUGGCAAAGGGCUUGGUGGUUAGUACGGACCCGAGGUCCCAAGUUCGAGUCCUAAUUGAUUCACAUUUCCAGCUAAGUUUAGUUUUAAAAGAAAUAAACGAAGCGGAUAACAUGCUAAUUAUCUCUCUCUCAAAAGAAAAAAAAAAUAGUUCACUAACAAAAUUUAACUUUAAAGGUAUAUUUCAAAUAACUUGAAAUGUUAAAAGAAUAUUUUUAAUAUUAGCCUUCUAAAAGGUUAAAUAAGAAAGUCGAAAACUUUUCAGGAACAUAAUUGCAACUAAGGAAAAUUAACCUCCACAAAUAUCAUCUCAAAGCAUGAAUUACACCUUAGAUUAGCACUAAGCCACUAACUGGCCAAAAUGAGGGUGAUCAUGGUGAGAGAUAUUUAUUACAUACAUCAAAUAAAACAUAGAAAGCAAGAACACACACAAAAUAAGAAUGAUAACUCAAAUUAGAACCGAAAAAUGUCUUUCGAGUUUAUGCUCUGUUGAUAAAUUAGAACUGUACAAUGUUUCGCACUCCGUAACCAUAGUAGCCAGAGUAUAAAACAAAAUUUAAUUUUAAUCAAUUUUAUCUUCCCGUUAGGCGAUAAGUAACUUGCAUAACUUGCAAGCGCAUGUUUACUAGUUUGUGUUUGCAAUAGUCAAACAACAAGAAGAGUUAUGUUCUAAAGCAGAAGCUGAACUCUAAAACCAUUUUUCAACUCCAUUUUCGAUUCUGAAACAAAACCAAUAUCAAACUAAAGAGAAAGCCCUAUGUUGAAAUAAUUGCAACAAUGAGGAAGUCUUUUAACCCGAUUACGAUAAUGGGAGAGAUAUUUCUUCUAGAAUUUCUAUGAAACAAUUAAACCUUCGCAAUUAAAUCUGAAACAACAAGAGGAAAAGAGGGCUGCAAACAGUAGUCGCAAAGAGAGGGGAAAACAGCGUGAAUAUGGCAGCACAGAAUGAGAAGAAGAGUAUAAGAGAGAGCAAAUAGGCGCCAAUACUUUACACAAAGGAGGCAAGAGGAAGCUAAGUAGAAUUCAGACUUAAGUAGUUCGCUCCUUUUUGACCAUGCCUAGAGCCCACCACCCUGUAAUUUAUGAAAGCCUAUGGAUGAUCCAGAUUCUACUCCUAUAAACUACAGAGAGUGGGUGUAGCAUUACUCACUAAGGACUUGCCUAAUGCCGCCAAGGGAAGGUGAAAAUUUAACCACUAUAUCAGACUAUAAAUAGAAAAGGCAUUUCACAGAACAUAACUGCAUAUUAGAAUGAAUUGUAAAUACUUCUACUUAGACAAGGGCUGUACCCUAGUGCCACUUCAACACUACCGAAAGAAAAAUUGUCAAAAAUAAACAUGGUAAGUAGGACUAUAUCUAGUACAAGGCAGAAUCAUACAUACGCUAACUAAUGAAUAGCACAUUGAAGAGAUAGCUCAACUGUUAAAAGUUUUGACGACCUACCAUUAUUUCUGGUUUCAUACCUCAUUGUCAAGUGUAGUUUCGACAAAAUUAAACAGUAUUCUUAGUAAAGAAAGUAACAGAAUAUGCCAUCAAACAAUAAAAUAUUCAAAUACAUUACAAAAACACUCAAUCACUAAAUACCACCAAAAGUUUUGAUUGCGAGGUAGUGAGAUCACUGAAAUAAGUAGUAAUAAAAGGUCGGAGCACUCAUCAAAGUAUAAAGACUGCAAACAAUCUGCCAUUUCGUGGCUUAUUCAAUCACAUAGAAAGCACAAGCAAACAACNAACAACGCCCCGAAGCUCAGAUAUCCAUUCACAAAAUGGUUUACGGUUCAAAUGGCGUCUAUAUGCUUUUACCACAAAGCAAUCACAGAUGCACUGAUUCACUCACAGAUAAUAAAAUUUACCAGUAGCCACUUAAGUUAACGAGAAAGCAAAAUUGCAAAGUCACAACAUCCUCUACGGAACAAUUAGACCUAAAACUCAGAUAACAUUGGUUUCCAUUUUGAGCCCAUUUAAGAGUAGCACACAAAGAUUUAAAGCCGGAGAGAGCACGCACCACUCUCAGUCGCCCUUUCUGCGGAAUGAGCAUCCUUCGGUGAGCCUGGCGCGGCCGCCGGUCGGCUGGCACAGAACGGUUUGGCAGCCGCCGCACAUCACUACGGUCUGCGAGUGGCUAAACACAGUUGUUCUACAACACAAUAAAACAAAAACAAAAUUAAUAAAAUUUGUUUAUACAUAAAUGAAGUUGUUUCCUUUUUGCACAAACAAGAUAAAAAGUUAGAUGUUUAACAGCAAAUAUAUGUGAAACGAAAAACUUACAUGGUGAAGCAUCCUUGGCAUUUAACAUCCUACACAUAGAGGAAACCACCGAAACAAAUUACAAUUAAAGCAAACAAACAUCAAAAGUCUCAAAUUUCCAAGAAAUAUUGUUACCAGAAAUAAUAUUUCAAAAAAAGGAGUAAAAUUGAAGGGAUCUCCCAACUAAACGCCAUUUUGAAAUAGAUUCCUCGAACUUAUUUUUCCAUCUUUUCUGAUUGGCACUCCCCAACUUUGAUUUGUUUUGAUUUAGGUUAUUUUCAUCAAUUAAAAUGAAUUUUUUUUCAAAUCUCACGAAAUCGAUAAUUGGUAAUGGCUGAUAGCUAAUAAAUGUUUUAACUUUAACAAAUCCACAAUUCAAUUUAAGAAAAAUAACUUCAAUAAUUAAAAAAAAUAGUAGUUAAGGAGAUAAAAAAGAAAAAAUAUGGAUGGUCUACAUCAAAUGGUCUAUAGUUAAGUGUGAAUCCAUAAGUUUAACCAACGAAAUAUGAUAAUAUAUAAGAAAAGGUGCCAAAUUUAUGAUUGAAAAAAGGGCGAAAUUUACCAUAAAAAAGGAAUUGGGGGAUUGAACGAGCCUCUUGAGCUUGUGUUUCCUCUUCUCGAGCUCCGCGGGAGGGUUUAGGAGAUCGACAUCGUUUUGGAGAACCUAAUUACAUCAAAAUAAAAUCCAAAAAAAUUGCCAUAAACGAUUACAAAAUCGGAAUCAGAUGAUAAAUUAGAAAAAAAAAAAAAAGUGAAAAUUUGAUUAAAAAACCCUCACCAUUUUGUUCGAAACCCUAGGAGGCGAUCGAAAACCCUAGAAUCGCUUCGAUCGCUGCGGCCGCAAUUAGAAUGGGGGAGGAGAUUAAACCCUUGAACGAAGAGCUUUUAUAGUCGCAUUGAGCGAAUGAGAGCCGCAUGAUCGAGGAGGCGUUUGAUCUCAGCCGUAGAAGUGGGCUCCACAAGAGUGUUGAGCAAAUAAAAUAUUUGGUGGGGGUAAUCCCCACCGAUAUGAGACCACUCUAUCCGCCGUUCAUUAUAUAAAGGCAUGAAUCUUAAAGCAACAUGAACGGCGGAUGUAAAACUCAAAUGGGGGUUAAUAUUUGUUUGUUUUACGAAAAGUGAAGGUCAGACUAAAAUAAACUUUUAGACGAACUAAAGUUAAUAAAAAUUACUUAUUCUCUGCUGUUUAUUUAUAUAACUGGAAACGUUGUUUCCCACCAAAUAAAAAUUUGGUGGAGACGAUCCCGACCGUCAGACUACUCUAUCUGUCGUCCAUCGAUAAAAGCAACGAAUUUUAAAGCAACAUGAAUGGCAGAUGUAGUGCUCCAAAUGGAUCGAUAUUUAUGUAAGAUGAAAGACCAGUGGAUUGAGUUUGUUUGUUUGUUUCACCAAAAGUGAAGCUCAGAUUGAAGUAUGCUAUUGAACGAAUUAGAUUUCAGAUAAAUUAUUUUUCUCCCGUUAUUUAUUUGUAUAACUGUGGAACCGAAAUUCCGCACCAAAUAAAAAAUUGACGAGGACAAUCUCCACUGUGAGACUACUCUAUCUGCUGUCCAUUACAUAAAAGUACGAAUCAUAAAACACCAUGAAUGGCAGAUGUAGUGCUCCAGGUGGAUCGGUAUUUACGUAAGAUGAAAGACUUGUGGAUUAAGUUUAUUUGUUUCACCGAAAGUGAAGUUCAGAUUGAAGCAGGCCUUCCGACGAACUAGAGUUUAGAUAAAAAUUACUUUCUUUUAUUAUUUAUUUGUAUAACUGUGAAACCAAAGUUUUCCAUCAAAUAAAAACUUGAUGGGGACGAUCCCCACCGUGAGACUACUCCAUUUGCUGUCCAUCACAUAAAAAUACGAAUCAUAAAUCAACAUGAAUGGCCAAUAUAUAGUGCCCUAAUCGAUUAAUAUUUACGUAAAAUGAAAGACUUGUGGAGUAAUAUUUGUUUGUUUCGCCAAAAAUAAAAUUGGAAUUGAAAUAGGUUUUUGGACGAACCCCAAAAACAUAUAAAAAAAAUUAUAAAUAAAAAAUAACUGUGAAACUAAAGUUUCCCAUCAAACAAAAAUUUGAUAGGGACGAUCCCCACCGUGAUACUACUCCAUCUGUCGUCCAUCACAUAAGAUUACGAAUCAUAAUUAAAUCAACAUGAAUAGCCGAUGUAGUGUUCUAAUAGAUUACUAUUUACAUAAAACAAAAGACUCAAACUGUGAUGAGAGGCUGGCAUUUUCACUCGCGCUAUCCGACCCGAAAGGGAAAACGAAGUCACCCCUGUCUCUAAGCCUGCUAGCUAGAAUAUAUCCAUGAGGUGAAGAGGCCACGCCGCUCGACUAGAAAGUCAGACCUUCCCCGAGUUCUUACUCCCCGACUCUAUAGCUUGAGGUGCCCGCUUUUCUUCUGCCAAACAAUAGAAAUACAAAAUGAAAUGUGAUGAGAGGCUGGCAUUUUCACUCGCGCUAUCCGACCCGAAAGGGAAAACGAAGUCACCCCAUGUGGAUCGGUUUCUGACUCGUGGAUUAAUGUUUGUUUGUUUCGUCAAAAGUAAAAGUGGAAUUGAAAUAGGUUUUUGAACGAACCCCAAAUAUAUAUAUAAAAAAUCCGGAAAAGGCAAAAGUUAAAUGUUGAGAGUGGGAUUUGAACCCACGCCCUUUCGGACCAGAACCUUAAUCUGGCGCCUUAGACCAACUCGGCCAUCUCAACUGUGAGAAUAUUUUCACAUUAUAUUAUAUAUAUGCUAAUAUAUAGAUAAAGCUUUAUAUAUGCUAGGUAUAUUUAUAGAUAAAGCUUAUUAAGUAUAUUACUAAAUUAUUUCUUAUCAAAUUGAUCUUUAAAAUAAAAUAAUAUCAUAAUGGUUUUAAGCCCCCUUAAUUCUAAGUGUUUCUCAUCAGUUCAAAUCAUUGUAUCUGUCAUUUUUUAUCAGUGCACAUGGAAUAGGAGUUAAGAUUAUUUCUACAUUGUUUCCUAUUACAUCCAUCUUUUGGAUAGCAAUGGCGAUCUGCUAAUGUCCCAGUGGUUAAGGCACUCCUCCUGUCAUUUUUAUCAAUGCACGUAGCAUAACACGAGUAUUAAAACUGCUACUAUAUUGUUUUCUAUCAAAUCGAUCUUUUGGAUAAUACUAAUUAUCUGAUAAUAUCUGAAUGGUUGAUCAGAUGCUCAUUUGCAGCUUAUAGGUCCUGAGUUUGAGUCCCGACAGCAUCUUUCUUUGUGAUCUGCUUUGCCUAACUUCGAGUUAGAAAAUUCUAAGGUUCUAGAAAUGUGAUCCUACGUACGAAUAGCUUGAGAAAACAUGAGUAUAAAGCAUUAUUUAUCUAAAAAAUUGGUGUGAAAAAAUGGAAAACAAGAACUUGAACAAUAUAGUCAUCAUGCCUUCCACAACUAAUCUUCCAUGCAUUCUUCAUGAUCCUCCCCCCAUUCAUGCAUUUGCUUAGAAGAAUAACCUAUUUUGUAGUUUCUUUCGAUAUCCUCCCCACAUUUUAAGGGCAAAACCAAGUGCAUGACUCGUCGCAAUCCUUAUUUUCUCGUAUAAAUUCCCAAGAAUCCCUUUGAAUUUUUGAGCACCAAAAUAAUUACCUACUUAUUUGCUUUACAACCAUGGCAAUAACUCAUAGCUCUUUUAAAAUAGUUCCAUGCGCGAUGGUAGUCCUUGUGUUACUUGCCCUAGUCGAUCGUAUUGAUGGAUCCGAUGGCUCCCUCGACCCACCAACCAACGAUGUUGUUCAGUGUGUCACUGGGUGUGGCACGAAAAUAACUUCUUGUGCAACUACAUGUACACAGAAAAGGUUAACGGAGGCGCCCCAAUGUUUUACAAAUUGUAUGGCUAAUAACUUAAGGUGCUUACUGGAAUGUUUCUCCAUUCCUCAGCUUGUUCCAAUCCUACCUUAGUUUCUGCCUAUUAUGAGAUUACUCAAUUCUAUAUAAGCUGCAUGUAAUAGAAACAUUUUAGUGAAUAAAUGAUCUGAGUUGUUCAAGUGGCCAUGUAAUGGUAAGUUUCAUUUCUUCUCUUUUUUCUAAGGAAAAGAAAACUAGUGUAUGUGAUCAUAGCAGAAACAAGGACACAAAAGAAGUUGAUUUAUGAAAGAAAUAUUAAAAAAAAAGAGAGUUUAUUUUUUUUUUAAGAAAACAUCAAUUGGAAAUUUGGAAUCUAUAGUUUGACUUGUUUAAAUAUAGCUCCCUACACCUGCUUUGACACUAUUAUUGUGAAACAACCGUUGUACUCUAAAAGUUUAAGCUAUUAGAGAACGGUAUUUAAACAUUUUUAUAUUUAACACUCCCCCUCACGUCUGGGCUCGAGACUUUUUAGUUGGCCCAUGACGUGAGCUUAAAUUAAAUGAGAGGAAAUUAAUAUGUUAGGAGCCUUGAAUGACUUGAACUCAGGACCUCUUGCUUUGAUACCAUAUGAAACAACUGUUGUACUCUAAAAGCUUAAGCUGUUAGAGAACGGUAUUUAAAUAUUUUUAUAUUUAACAAUUAUAAUGUUGUAUAUGAGUUUAUUUGAGUAACACUCUUUUUAUGUUAUGCUUUACUACCUAUUUUCGAAAUUGAGAGAGAGAGAGAGAGAGAGAGAGAGAGAGCACAAAGUAGGAGCAAGUUGUGAGGCUCUGCUUCUCUAGGGGAUCACCCAUUCUAUAACUAUGCAUAUUGUGACUAUUCUAGUCCUAGCACGCUUAAUCUUUUUAAUAUUAUGGGCUUAGCCAUUGCCUACAAAUAUUAUAGCCGAGUUAAGAGUUUUAGUCUUGUUAUACCUUAUAUUUAGAAUUAUUCCAAAUCUUGAAAGUGUCGCACUCUUCCGUCUUCUUUAAGUUAUGACGUUUUCAUUAAACUCAAGCAUAUUCAUUAGUAUUAGAUGGUGUGAAACUCAUCUCGCUAGCCUUAUUAUUCAUCACCUAGCUGAGCUUGUUAUUUAGUCUCUAGUCAACUGAGACUUAUAUUUUUCGGUUGUGAUUAACUCUAAUAUUAAGUGUGGCACUCUACUUCCCAGGAGAGCUGCCCAUUCUAAAACUACUCUAAUUCUGAUAUGCUUAAUUGUUUUUUUUUUUUAAUCUCUUGGGAUUAGCUACAAUUCAAAAUGCUGUAGUCAGGUUAAGGGGUUUAAUUUUAUUAUAUACUAUAAUUAGGACUUCCAAAUCCUAUAGGGGUAUAACACAAGUGCUUCUUUAUCCAUCUCUAAAAAAGCAUUUUCCAAAGAAAAAAUUUUAGAAUUUUUGCAAAGGGCUUGNGCUUAGCCAUUGCCUAAAAAUAUUAUAGCCGAGUUACGAGUUUUAGUCUUGUUAUACCUUAUAUUUAGAACUAUUCCAAAUCUUGAAAGUGUCGCACUCUUUCGUCUUCUUUAAGUUCCGAUGUUUUCAUUAAACUCAAGCAAAUUCAUUAGUAUUAGACGGUGUGAGACUCAUCUCGCUAGCCUUAUUAUUCAUCACCCAGCUGAGCUUGUUAUUUAGUCUCUAGUCAACUGAGACUUAUCUUAUAUCUUUCGGUUGUGAUUAACUCUAAUAUUAAGUGUGGCACUCUACUUCCCAGGAGAGCUGCCCAUUCUAAAACUACUCUAAUUCUAAUAUGCUUAAUUGUUUUUUUUUUUUAAUCUCUUAGGCUUAGCUACAAUUCAAAAUGCUGUAGUAAGGUUAAGGGGUUUAAUUUUAUUAUAUACUAUAAUUAGAACUAUUCCAAAUCCUAUAGGGGUAUAACACAAGUGCUUCUUUAUCCAUCUCUAAAAAAGCAUUUUCCAAAGAAAAAAUUUUAGAAUUUUUGCAAAGGGCUUGAUGGUUGGUAUCUGAGACCCAAGUUUGAAUCCUAGUUGAUUCACAUUUCCAGCUAAGUUUAUUUCUAAAUGAAAUAAACGAAGCGGGUAGCGUGCUACCUAUCUCUCUCAAAAAAAAAAAGAAGAAAGAAUUUUUGCUGUAGCACGAAGUUGAAAUGAGAUUUUAACCACCAAAAGUAAGAGUAUUUUUUCUCAAAAAAAAAAAGAGUAAGAGUACCAGUAUGAAGCCAGAAUUUAGAUUUAUGCUUUUCUCGAUAGCGCUACUCAAAUAGAUUUUUUUUGACAAAACAUUGCGAAAACUAUAAUGUAAAGAAAAAAUUAGUUGAUGUCCAAUGAGUUUAUCAAUCAUGCUGACUUUUUAAUACAAAUUCGGCCGAAAAAGGGUUAAACAAGCGGAACGGUAACCAAGUAAGUCUAUGACGAAAGAUCUAAAAUUGCUUACUACUACUUCAAUCAUUAGUGAAAAGCCCUAUUUUCAGAGGAGGUGGGUGGAAAUGUUAGAGAGAAGAGUCGGCAAUGAAAGAGUUGUUUAUGCCAACUCAACUCUAUCAGAAUGUCAGAUCAGAACGUCGGUGACAAAGCGCGAUUAACAUAAACUUAUUUAAAUAAGCAUGCGUUGAGAUUAAGCUGUUAGUCGCUAAGUGGUAUAGAUUUUUGUGGUAAAAGCUAAUAAAAACCAUAAAAAAAAACUCACAAUGGAAUUUAUUUAACAAAAUUUUCAAUUUAAUUGAAAAAAAAAAGAAAAUUAAAAGUUCAGGACUUCCUUUCGAAAUAGCCAAUUGUUGAGGGGGGUACUCCAUACUUUUUCCUCACCUCCUGAAAUCGGCGCCGCAAAAGAGAACGAAAGGGUCUUAUUAUAAAAUACGGCAACGAGUUAACCACCGCCGCCGAAUUCAGUGUAUCCGUUUCAACAACCCGAUAACUACUCGUCUUUCUCCUCACUCUCGCUCUCUACUCUCUCUCCCUUCGGUCGGGGGAGAACGCGAACCGAACCGGGCGGCUCAUCUCGACCGGAAAUGGCGAACCGGACCGGACCGGGCGGGGCGGCGGAGGAGGAAGACGACGACCCCGUCGUCUCCUUCCCGGAGCUCCUCCGCUUCUGCGGCCGCGCCCAAACCCUAAUCACCGAGCUCCUCCUCCUCGCGGAUCGCGUCCCCUCGGAGUUCCGCGAUCGCCGCUUCGACCCCGUCCUCUUCGAUCUCAGGCUUGUCCCGAAUCCCCGUACUCUCUCUAUCUUCGCGUUCGCAGUCACUCUUUUUUCCUGUAAUUUUUCGUAGAUUUUUGGUAAUUUGUAGGGAUGUUAACGUUUGGUGCUUCCUGAAUCCCCUUCCUCUCUCUUCGUGCUCUAAAUCUGUUCUUUCCUGUAAUUUUCCAUGGAUUUUUGGGUAAUUUGCAUCGAUCUUAUAGCCUUAUGCUUAAACGAGAGAAGAUGUAUGUUUAAACUAGAUUCGAAGGGGCUACUAGCACAGUUUGAUCAUUAGUUUUUCAUUUUGAAAGGCCUAUAUAUACAAAAUCAUAGGAUUUGGAAACAAAUUUCUUAGGUUUCAACAACAGCUCUUAUGGAAAAUUAUAGAUCAUUGAAUUUGGUAUUGCUUGAUGUUUAGGAAAUGGGUUUCCGAAUCUUAUGAAAUUUCAUAUAUAGGCCUUCGAAAUGGUGUAGGUUGCUCCCAACGUUUUAGCCUUUGAUUCAACGACCUCUUACGUUUGAUUUAACAUGCAUGUAAAAAGAGAACAACUUAAAUUUCUCUCAUUUGAUACUAUACUCCAAAUAUGUACUGCAUUUCAGCUCAAUACAACUUUUUUUUUUCUAAUUUUAUUUUAAAGUUAGGAAGCUGCAGAGUUUGCUCUUAUCGAUUAUGUUUCAUUUAAGGUUUCAUUGUUUUUCCAGAUAUUUUGACUCUCCUAGUGAUUUUGAGUCAAGGAUUGAAGGAAAUGCUGAAUUAGAAGCUCUAGAAGAUCAGCUCCGUGAAUCUUGCUCUAAUUAUAUGCAGAGGUUCUUUAAUCUGGCUAGUGGAAUUGUCAUUUACCAUAUGGAGCUCCUUAAAUACCUAAAUGAUCUUCAGGUAAGCUCUAGCUAACUCACUAACGAAGAUUUUUAUUUUAUGCUUUUUGUGUGUGUGUGUGUGUGUGAGUGCGGGCGCAUGCGCUACAAGCCACUUUACUACAGUUUUUCAUUCUAUAGCAAAAUUUACUCAAUCGAAGUUAAUUGAAAUGGAAAUUACUCUAGUUCCAUUUCCACUUGUACUUUACUAUAGCUAAAGUUCUUGCUAACUCAAUGUCCACCAUUUGUGUAAAAUUCUUAGCAUUUUACUGAAAUCCACCAUUGCUAGUUAACUAUGUGAUCUCUUUUAACUUUUCCUGUUUCAUUCUGCCAAGUAUCUGAUUCUUAGCCCAGUGAAUGUGACAAACAUUUUCAUCUUUGUAACUAUUGAAUUGAGAGUUUAAAUAUCUGUGUAUUUUAAGCCUAUUUAUACUUGGUCAUUAAAUUUAACUAACAAAUUGAAAUCUACUAUCCAGGAAGGUCUUUAUGUGCAUUAUUCACUUGAUAGUGUAUUGGAGAGCAAGUCUGGGUGCCAACUGCUGACAGAGUCAAUUACAUUAUUUGCAUGUGUCCUGUUAUUAAUGGAGCACAGGAUCGUUGGGAUUUUGCGUGAGAAGCUCCUUGUGGCACAUCUACGAUAUGAUCGUUGUUUCAAUUUGCCAAAGCUAGAGGAAAUAUGCUCUCUCUGUCGUAUACACCAGCCUAAUACAGGAACCUUAAGUCACACGAGUGCUUCUUCAUUAACCUCUGAUAUUCUUUCCAUACAAAAGCCAGAGAUCCUUUUUGCAAGAUUCCCCUUUCCUAAACUGGUGGUUGAUGCUAUUAUAUCUUGCUUACGGGGAGAUGACAUGUACAAUAACAUUCGCCACUAUCCAGAUCCACAGCAUCGGACUGUGGCUUUGUCUUUACAGGGUGGACGUUUGUACCUGCUGUUAUUUUAUUCUACUGACUUUUUACAUAAUGGUCUUGUUAUGCGAGAGAUUGUUGAUAGGUUCUUUAAGGAUAAUUGGGUGGUUCCUAUAUUUUUGCAUUUCUUGGUAGAUUUAUUUGCCUCAUGGGAUGCAUAUAAAGAAGCAAAAGCUGCAUUAUCCUCUUGUCUUUCGCCCAAUUUUAUACGUGAUUGCUGCCUUUAUUAUUCUUCUAAGGUUGGUAUUAUCCUUGGAAAGUAUUAAGAUUUUUUGGAGCAUUUUAUAAGAUAUUUAUGUAUAAGGCUACAUACCGAAAUUUUGUUUCCUUGUCUUCUUGUAAAUGUACUUGACAAUGUACCCCCUUCUUACUCAUUUAUGGUUCUAUUUUGCAUAUAUAUUCCCCUCAAAACACAUUCAUUAAUGUGUAUAUUUUUUCAAAGAUGAAAAUUCCACCUAUAGCCUGAGAAUUAACUCAUAUUUGCAUACAUGCUUAUGCUCAUUUUUUUCCUUUGUUAGAAAUGUAUUGGAGAUUUAAAAAUGACCGUUAUAUCCAUUUACACCAAUGCUCUUCAAAGCCGGUGAGGGUUUGGUUCCUAAAAGUUUAUUUUAGUUUUUAAAAUGGCAUUAACGCAGAAAUGAGGACAAGUAAGUGCCUCUUCAAGCCGUGUGUUUAGAGGGGCAUAUAUCCAAAUAUAACAUUACAAUAUCUGCAAGGGUAUAAGUGCAAAUACGCAUUUUUAAAGGAUACACAUUCAAAUAUAUGUGUUCAGGAGAUAUGUAAAAUUCCAUUAAUUGAACUCAGAUUUUUUUUUCCCCCCUAAUUCUACACAUCGUUUUCUUCAUUCAAUUUGUUCUUCUUGCACAUUUUUCUAUUCCUUUCUCAUAGUCUUACUAUUAUCACAUAUGUUUAUCCUGCAGGUUACGCAUCUCUUGUCUGAGUUAGGCUCCAGUCUCUCUGAUGGUGCUUUGAAGAAGGAUUAUGUCCUGGAUAACUCUCAACAUCUUAUCUCCUUUAUAAGAAAUUGCAAUAUUACUCUGCGCUGGCUUUUGCUUCAUAGAAUUGUGAGCCCUUGUUCUUAUGCUCGUAUUUUUUUCCUUUUAUAGAUGUCAUAGUUAUUUAGUGUAACUGUAGGUAUUUUCUUUAUGCGCAUUUAUAGGAUCUAAUCUAAUAGUAGACUAAUGAUUUUAUAGAGCAAUGACAAGAGGUCAAGGGACAUAGUGACUUCUAUAGGGCUGGCGCAGCAAGUCGAUGAUGAUAGCUUACUACAACUCCUACUGAAGGCUUCUCAAGUGAUUUUCUAUUUUCAUAGGAACUUCUUUCACCAAUAAAUGUUAUGCUGAAAUCUUUUAUUUGGAUGUUUGACAAUUAAUUUUAAAUAUUCACACUCCACAGCUUGAAUUUGAAGUGAAAUUUCUUUAUGAUGAACUUUUGAGAACCAGAGAAGCUAUGUGGUGCGAGAAGAAACGCUGUGCUUCUGAAUGCAUGGAAGACUUAUCCCGAAACCACUUUGGCACUUGGGUAUGUAUUGGCUUUUUCAUGGUAGAAGCAAUCUAUAUAUUCUCUUCUUGUACAGCUACUAUGUACAGUUUAGGUUUUUGGAAUAUUAUUAACACUGACAUUCUGAUCCAAAAAACAGUGUUCAACAACCACUCCAAUAAUUAUGUAUUAUAUUAUUCUGCCAGACGUAAAUUUCCUUUGUUCUCAUCUUUAAGCCAUUGUGCAACAAUGCAAACCAAAGCAACUUUUGUGUAAAUUAUCAUCAAAUGGCAGUGUAAGAACCUACUUAGUCUUUAUAUCAGUAUAGCGUACACAAAUUAGAUCUUGUGUCAAUUAAUUGAUAUUUGCUGUUUAUGUAGGCUUCAUCACACAAAUUCAAGAACAAGAGCCUGAAAGACUGGUUUGAUAAGUUGUCACUGGAGGUGAGUGAAUCCUGUUUUGUUCAAUUUGAUCCAAAUUAGCAAGCACAUUUUUUAAGAUUUCUUGUAAUAUACUCUCAAACUACAUUUUCGUCUUGACAAACACUGCAUACUUGCUAAUUUAUUUGAACAUAGAAGCCGGCAAUAGUUUGAAUCUGGUGUAAGAAAAACUGAUGCAUUUUGGUCUUGGCAAUUUAUUUGUGGAUUUUCUGCUAAGAAAAAUGGAUAGUUUUGAUGCUUGUUUUACACAUGUGACUCAAUUGUGUCAUUGUUCUUCGCAACCUUACAAAUGUUGGCAUUGCAUCUAUGUGAGAAAGUCUUGCAUUUGAGCUGGUGUGUCACCAAUAGUCUAAGGGACGACAUUCUUUUCAUUCUCUCUCUUUCUCUCUCUCUCUCCGAUGUUGUUCCUGCCGGUUUCUUUUCUUAUUCUAGCGUUAGAGUCCUGAGAACUUUUACAUUUUUUCAAUCUUCAUAGAGGCUAUUAUUUUGUUUAAUAUGUAAUACUAUCCCUUUUCUCUUAUUCUUAAAUAACUACAGUGAUUACAAAGCCAGCUAUUCUGAAUUUUACUCGUGAUCAAUCAUUAAUGUUCAUCUUUAGCAGAUGCAGUCACUAAAUUAUUCUGGACAUGGAAGCUCUGGGAGAAUAAUCUAUCGUGUAAUAUCUUCAAUUAAGGAUAUUGAACAACUUGAUCAAGUAAGUAUCUGUGCCCUCUUAUUAUAGUUAAUGUUACUGAAAUAGGACUAUGUAUUUUGUAGUUUCCAUGGUGUGCAAGUAAUACAAAUGUAAAGAUGUACAUUUUUCUUUUCAAUUGUUAUUUAUUUCCAGAUCCAGGUUAUUUAAUAUACAAUUGUUUUCAUGAUUAUUUCUCUUUAGGUACUAACUUAGCUUUCUUUGACGAAAUAUUUAUAGGUUGAAGAAAGUUUGCAAAUCAAACAUGGGUUAGCCAAAGUUCAGAAGUCUCUUCAUGACAUGAUCAAAAUUCUCAAUUUAGAUAUUGAUGCUAUGAGGGUAUUCUCUGUGGUAAGUCUAGGAUCCUUUUUGUUUGCCAUAACUUUACUAGAUUAACAUGCAAGUGCCAUUAUGGAAAAGCUUGGUGGUGACAAAUAUAAUGACAAUGCACAACUAUCAAGUGCUAUCACGUAUCAGAAAGCUCCUUUAUUUUCUUUUUUGUGUUUCUUGAACUAAGGGCUAUAAGGACUCAUAGAUCGUAUUUGACACCUAAGAAAAAAUUAUCUGUAGAAAGUUAGAAACUCCUAGAAUAGAGUUGGGAAGUUGGGCACGAGGAUGAGAAACACCAAGCUUGGUACAAGGACAGAUAACCAAGCUCAAUCAGCUUAGAACCUCAUGCCACACGUCUAUACUUUUAGCUGCUGUGUUUUUGUUGAUUAGACCACUAUAAUAGUGAGGACCACCAUAUGAACAAGUUUAGUUUAUUUAUUUUUAAAUUUAGGACUUGUUUGGACUGGCUAGAGCUUUUGUAGCUGUGCUGUUUCAGUAGAGAUCUUCAAGAAAGCAGUAACAACUUUUAAUUAUAAUCUUUGUACGGUUCUCCUAGUUGCAGCAAAAGCAGGAGCUUCUACUUUUGGUUUAGAAGCUCAUAUUCAUCUUCUGCAACAAGGAAACUAUAGAGCUAAGGGUUUUUAUUUGUCAAGUGCCUAUUUGCUACUUUUCGAAGUAGAAAAGUUGCUCGAGAAGUCAAGACUACAUAGGCACACAAUUGGAAAUUGAAAUAGGAUGAACUUACUCUUGCGAACGGUUGCUGUUUUGUUAUAUCUUUUGGAGUUUUUGUGCACUAUUGGUGCCUUGCCGUUGUUGACAUUUACAAUAGAAUGUCAUGCCACCAUAAGAAUGAUACGAAUACAACCAAAUUUUGAGUAUGUGGUCAGGAAACCUUAGUAUAGUUGCAGCAGUUAGGAAUAUUUCAAGUUACUGUUUUAGGUUAAGCUAUUGUUUGUGGUCAACUUUUUUAAGAAUCUGAUGAGAAAAUUAUGGUUGAUGAGUCUUUCCCUUUUCAGGUUACAGAUGCUGUAUAUGCUUGGGGAUACAUUGCAAAAUAUGAUAAACUUUUGAAGAAGAAGAUUAAGCAAGAUCCAUCAACAAUGCUGAUUUUGCAUGCCUUAUUUCUUAAAUUUCAGUCAUUUCUGAAUGUACCGCUACAAUGGAUAGAGCAGUGCCAAAGGUGUGCCCGGCAAUCCCUUCCCAAUUUGACAAUUUGAAGUUAAUUGAGCUUUUGGUUGCAAUCAAAUACUCGAGGGCAUUGACUAACCAUAUGGAAAAUUACUUUUUUGGUUUUUACUAGCUGUUUAGUUGGACUUCCAUCAAUCUUAACUGAAUCAAGACUAUGUAGUGAGUAUCAACUUCAGAUGGUUCUAAGUUCUGAUAGGAUUACUUCUGGAUGUUGGUGUCUUCUUGACAUGUCUAAGAACAAGCGUAGCCCAUUUUAUCAAUGCUCACUGUUUCAAAAAGAAUGUGCAAGUAUUAUAGUUGUGGGAUACUAUGGUGAUAUUUUUCAAAUAGAGAGGUGAAAGCUUGUAGAUAGAUUGAUCCAUCAGAUCAUAUGUAAAUUUAUCAAAAUGUCAAUUUAUUAAAUGUCAAUUUAUGGUGUUACUUUAUGUAAAAUUUGUUGGAUUUUUUUUUUUUUCUUUUCUAUCACCAUGACUUGCAGCGAGGAUCUCCCAUAUGUCUCGAGAUACUAUUCCUCAGAGUAUGCUGCUAGAAUUUUCACCAUUCUGGAGAUUGUUCCUGUGAGUUUUCUACUCUAGAUAACAUAUAAAACACUGUUCUUCCAGUACUUCAGUUGCUUCUAAUGUGAUACUAAUCAUAUCUUUGCUUGACAAAUGAUAGUUCUAUACACCCCUACAAAAUUAUCUAUAUUUACGCUUCCCAGCAAGUUUGAAUUUUUGCAUAUGCCCUUUCAAAACUUAGUUCCUUACAUAUAUGCCAUGUACAUACAGAAUGCUCAUCUCGAAAAGAACUUUUUAUAGUAAAAAGCAACUCUCCCUCAUGAUUGGAUGUUGGGAACUUACGAAGUACCUUAAGAUAAGUAAGUAAGAAACUGUGCUUUCGAAGGACAUAUAUGAAAAUUAUUUAGUCUACAGAGGUAUCAAAUAAUUGAUUUUUCAGGAAUGUAUAUGAACAAGCCUCUGUCUUAACUUUGUUAUGCUAUAGUAAGUAUAUGAAUUUUCUUUUAAUUGUUUCAGGUCGUAUUGCUUGAUAUAUUUAAUGAUAACUUACAAGCUCAGCAUCCAUUUCACCUAGUAAAUCGUAUUGACAAGGAUGCUUUUGAAGAUUUUAUGCAGGUAUGUACUUGACAAGAUAAUUUGUUUUGAAUUUCUUCCGUAAUAAUUUUUAUCCUAUUUGGGCAGUGCAAUAGACUUAAUACUGUUCUAAAGGUUACUCAAAGUGCUUCUGAUAAGUUUACUGCUGUUGCUACUGGGAAUCUCCCCGUUUCCAUUUAUGAGUUACCCUCUCCCUGUGUAGGUUUAGGUUUUCAGUUUGCAGAUGCAGUUUUUUUAUUUGUCAAAUCUGACAUAUAGAUGCAUAACGAUUAACCUUAUUUAUACCAUAUCCACGGGCAUCAACUUUUCUUUCUUUCCCUCUCUCUCUUUUUUGUUUCGUUCUCUUUUUUUUGGGUUUUUUUUGUGGUGCGGAGCAAGCUUUCUUGAUGGGCAAUAGAGUUUGAAUUUCGUCAGUUUGGGUAAGUUUUGAAAGAAAAUCAAACUAAGCAGCAAUUAUUGGACCAAAACAAGCUGAACAAUUGUCAGAACACAAAAAAAUGAAUGAAUUUUUUAAAUUGUUGUUCAGUUCAAUUGUUUUGGGCCCAUACUGUUUUGUACUCCAAAAGUAAUGGACCUAUUGUUCAUUAUCAAAAAGUUCAAGGUUAGUAGAGCCAUUUGGAAACGGAUGAGUGAAAACAAGAAGUCUUGUCAAAAAGCUUGACCAACUUUUGGAAAUCAAGCUUUAAAUUUUUGUUUUGAUUUGUCUUAUUUGGUUCUUUGGGUGUCUCUUCUACAAACAGAAAAAUUUUUACCGAUUACAUUUCACAUUUAUGAUUGAGAUAGAAGUAUAAUAGCCAUACUAAUGUUUGUUUUUCUAUUUAUGGCUGGUUUGUACUCUUGGUGCUGCAGUUGGAUACACAACUCAAACUAGCAAGGCAAGCUGGCAAAUUGUCUGUUAUUUCUGAGGUAAUCUUUUUACAAUACCCCAUUUUUACCUUGUAUCACGAAUUUCAUGUCCAAGUAGUGUUGGAAAAGACUGUUUAGUUAAUCAGGUCACAAGACAUUACACACCCUAUGGGCCAGCUAAUACUAUUGUGGUGUAUACAAUUGGUAAAAGAUUCUGUUAGAAUGCAAUUGUUGGUACUACUAAUUUUGUGAAGCAAAUCUCUUGCUUCUCUUCCUGUGCUUAGGACCUGGAAGAAGUUCAAAAUACGCUCAGAUUUAUAGUUAAUGCUUUCUAGUAUGUGAACCAUGUCGUGUAUUAAAUGGGGAUAAAUGUUGAUGCAGGGGAUAAUGAUCAUGUCAAGGAACUUAAAUGGCCUCAUCAAUUCGGUAUGUGUUUCUCUCUUCGAAACUUCUAGAGAAUGUUUUUGCUGUAAGUAAUCUAUAAAUAUGGCUCCACCCCAACUCAUUGGUUGAGACAUUGUCGAUUUGUUAUUUUUGCAUAUUUAAUAUAUCAAGCACUUUAACUGAAUUGUUUAAAAGUUGUCAUUUUCUUUCCUUUUUCUUUUACCUUUGUUUUUCUUCAAAAAUUUGGAUAACCUAUAAAGGCAACAGUAAUUCACUUAAUCUUCACUUCUUUUGACUAGAAUAAUCUGCUUGACCUUGAGCCAACUUGAGACCGCAUAAUUUACAGUCUGUUUCCUUGAGUAAUUGAAGUUGUAGGUCUUCACUUGUCAUUGCACAUAUUAUGAGCUUCACAUCCAGUCUUAUUUAGCUGUGCAAUUUUUGAUUGGCUAAUUUUAGCGUUCAAGUUCCUCAUAUUUAUUUAACUUUUCCUUUAAAGGACUUAAGGAACUGGUUGGAAGAGAAUGUACGGAAGGAACUAUCAAGGCGGCUAGAAAGCAAGCUGCAAUCCCAUUUCUUGCCUCAUGGUAUGGAUCUACAAUUGCAACCAACUUUGGAUUUUUUAAUUGUUAAAAAUUAUUUAUUUUUUCUUCAUGUGAACUUGAUCCUUGAGUAAAAGUACAAAAAUAAAUCACCUACAGUCCAUAUCAUACAUCAUUUAAGCCUUCAACAACAAUAGGGAGCAAGCUAGAGCAUUACUUAAAGAUGAGAAGGCUUAUAAAAGGAAGUGACCAAGGAAUUUGCCAUUUAAGCUAUAUGGCCAAUUACUGGGUUCAGUCUUUGUUAUUGACCAUUGUUUUCUAGUUAGGUCCAUGUAACUUAGAAGCAACCCUUCAGAAAGUUCUUUCGACAUGAGAAUGGUCUAGACUCUAGAAUAUGGAGACAGAGUGGGACUUUAUGGUGAUUAGUUUCACCUGUUUUAUUUGUAAUUUUUUUAGAUUAAUACUAGUCUUAUCUGUGGGAAAUAGAUGUAUUUAUCUGUUAAGUUGCAUUUUCGGGAAAAAAAAGAAGCAUUCAACAGCAUUUUCUUGCAUAACAAAGUAGUACAUAUAGUUAAUGUUCAUCUAUAUUAUGUACUUUCAGAAAUAAACGAACAAUUUUUAUCUUGUGGAUCUUCUUGCUCCUACAGCUGGGCGUGACGAUUUAGAAACUAAUCUGGUGUCCUUAUCAACUUUUAUCCUUUCCCAGUUGCGAAUGAUGGAAACCUUACAGGUGCUUAUCACUAUAUCUCCGUUUUGAUAAUAUGCUCUGAUCUGUUGUUUUCUAUUAAAAUUUUUAUUAGCAUCUCUAUGCAUUAUGCUUCUUGCUUACAAAAGAUUUUGAUGCAAGACUAAAGUCAUUUUACUAUAGCAUUGUGCAGCUCUGAUACCAAUUGAUGCAAAUUAGAAGCUGGAAUAAAAUUGUUUGAUGUUAUUGGGCCAGCAUUUUGGCACCACAUAGUUAAACCCUUAAAUCCUCUCAUUUUGGAAGAAAUAAUGUUAUUAUACUUUUACAGGACGUACUUCAUAUUCAUGGGAGUCAUAUCUGGGAAGAAACUUUUACUGAACUACUGAAUCGUUGUGCUCAGAAAGUAUGCCAUAGACUGAUUUAUUUUUAUUUUUCAUUUUAAUCUUCCUUUUCUAUCAAUAUGAUUUUUAGCUUAAUCUGUGAUAGUAUGCCCUUUUUUCUCAUUUGUGUGCAUGUACAGGAACAAACUGAAAUUGUGAGACGAAAGCAAGAAUCCAAAAUUUCAGUUGCAAAGUUGAAUGACUUCUCUAAGUCAACCACUUUUUUUGGUAAGUUCUACUGAUAUCUUUCUUUUUAGGUAGAGAUAUUUACAUGUUCAGUCUUUCAAAAUUACUAUUUAGAUAUCUAUCCCUUCAAUAUGGUAAAUUUCAUAAAUUUCCUUGAAUAUAGAACAUUGUUUUUACAAAAUUCCUCUCUUUAGAAAACUUUCCCAAUAAAAACCAACUUCUUGAAAUGAAUCAGAUGGCUCCCUAACUUAAGAUAAGGGCGGGCACUUCAAGAGGGCUAUGUUUGAAUACUUGGACUUUACAGGGAUCAAUAUAAAUAGAUGAUUUUGUAGGUUAAACCAUGUACCGUGUCAAUCAUGUUAUAAACCAUGUAUAAUGUAAUUUUCUAUUAUUAACACUUUCCAGGACAUUUAUUGCACCAAAUGUUUCAGUUAACGGAUCCCUCUCGAUCAAUGUAUAUAGAGCCUAUGGUUGGUUGGUGAGUAUCAUUUUGGAUGGGUUGGUCAUCCACUUCAUUGGGUAAAUUUUGAAUGAUAUAUCAGUUCUGUAAAUGAUCUUUAGUUAUUAGCAUAUUGCUUAUUAAAAGUUACUCAUUAGCACAUACAACUUACAAAUGUUAAAUUGCAUAUAUGCACUUCCCAAUUACCAGUUGUGCUCAAAACCUAAGGAUUGAGACUUUUUCAGUUUCAAUUUCUAUUGGUGGCAGUCCAAAACUGUGGUCUAAACCAAUCUGAUGUCAAAAUAUUUCAAAUUUCAACUACAUUGGCUCUAAAGCAGGCUUAGUUUUAGAACAUUGACAUAAAUUAGUUAAAACUAGCUUUUAGGGUCAAAUUUGGUUCAUUCACGGGUCCUUAAACUUAUUUUACUGUAUUUUGACUUGCUUGAUAGGCACCAACAUCUAAGAUGUUAGCAGGAGGAUUCAGUUACAACUAAAACAUUUCUCUUUCUUCUUUUUUUUUGUUUUAAUAAUUUGGAUGCUACAUUUCAAUCAAAGUUCAGUAAUGACAGUGAAAACUAUCAACACUGCCAAAACCUGCAACUUAAGGUGCCCAAACAGAAACCAAUAUCACAAACCUCAUAGCCACAAUAAUGUACACAUUGGGUUAUAUGUAUAAUAUUGAAAGCUCAGAGUAGUUGAGUUGAAGAUCGACUUUCACUUGGAUAUAUAUUUGCCAAUAAGAGCUGCAUGAAGUUUUCUAUUCAAAGAUACUUCACCUUUUUGCUUUUUAUCUACUUCUCUAUAUUCCUGCUAAUUCUAGAGUUUCAACUGUUUUUGGAUAUAUAAAUUUUUUUCUUUCUCCUCAGGUUUGAUGCAGAAGGCCGUGAAUUGCUUGGGUUGCACUUUUUUAAUCUACUUGAGUCAAGGUUAUCUCAAGCCUUCUUACUUCAAUAAUCGACUUAUUUUAUUUUCUGCUUCCUUGCUGAUUGUGAACUUCUAAUGUCAUGCCUUCUUUCCUGUAGUUGAUGUUUUUAUCAGGUAUUUGGUAUGGUGUAUAGUUUUUUGCAAUUACAGCUUUAACAUCUCAUGAUCUGUAGUCCCAAGUGCAACUAAUCUUGUUUUACGAUACAUACAUUUAUUAUCUACAACCCUACAUUCAUAUUUAACAAUGUUGUCUAUAAUGGUUUUUUUGGUAGCUCAUUUCAGUUCGUGGCAUUCUUUGGACAUUUUCUGUCUAAAGAACUGCUAAUGGAACAAAAAUUGUGGCUGUUUACACCUACCGGUGAACUUAAAUUUCAAUGGCCCUAUUAGUUUCAAAAGGCUUGUCUCUUGGUAAUCGUGAGAAGAGUGCGCGUGUUAUGUUGAGGCAAUGUUGGCUGGCAACCUCAUAUCCCAACUUGUCAUUGAAACUAAUUUCUUAUUUUCCUUCCCUUCAGCCGAAAAGUUCAUAUUUUCUCCUUUGUUUAAGUGUGAUUUCUUCAGCAGUUUAUUUAUUUAUAAUUUUGUUGCAAGUCAUACAGUUACUCUUCUUUAAGGGCCAAUAUCUUUUAUUUUAUUUUAUUUUUCACUGUGACAUGAUUUUUUCUGCAUUAUGACGUGAUUUUUCAAGUGAAUUAGUCAAUGGGCUACAUCCUUCAGUGUUGGACAGGUUGGCUUGGCCAUUUUGGACUCUCUAUUAGCUUUACUCAUAAAGGAGAAUCUAGAACUUACAUUGAAGAGCUUUCAUGUUUUGGUGAGUAAAGCAACAGCGUGCCACCUUAUCCUUUUCCAUUAUUUAUUUCUUAUUGAUUGUUACUCGAAGGAAUGGUAGCCUUGUGCAAAAUUGCCAACUACCAAGUGAACUUACGAGUGCAAUAGAUGCAUGACAAGGUUUUACUUGUCAAGGCAUGAACCUUGCUGCUCAGGGUUUGGCACACUGCUCAGUGCCGUUGGAUUGGGGGCCGCUCUUCGGCACCAUGAUACAAUAUGUUUGUAGUUCCCCUAUUUAGUAAGGGAUAAGUAUUUCCCACCUUCAGGAUGAGUCGACUCACAGUAGACUAGUAUUAUGGAAUUGAUAAUAUGAUACCGUAGAAGGAUGAUCUAGAUACAACAAGCAUAUAUUCAAAGAUGGGAUGUAUUUGCUUGCUGACUUUCCUGCUAGUGUUUUCUGAGUACGAGUUGUUUGAAGACGCACUGAACAGGUUUUUCAUCGAAGUUCCCCUAGAAGCUUCUGCAUUAUAGAAGAAGCUGAAGCUUAAAUUAAGCUUCUGCCUAGGCAAAGGCUCCAGAGUUACAGUCUACCAGAUGAAUGUUCUAGACUAAACCAGCUGUACUCAAGCAGGGAGGCUAAAUAGGCACUUAGUUCAUUAUUUGACUUGUUGGUCUGCAUCAGGACCAUUUCGAUUUCCUACUUGAUAGCAUUCCUUUUUAUCUCAGUUGGAUUCUAGAUGCAUGGAAGAACUGCACAAGCUUGAUAAGUUUAUGGGGCCUCCUACAUCCAUUCCUUUGCUGGGUUUGUCGUUGUACAAUCAGAUGGUAAGAACUACUACUCCAGUGACAAUUACAUGCGAUAGUCAUAACUAUGACAAAUAAUAUAGCAUAGGACCUAACUUUAACUUCUAUUUCCAUUAUUUGAAACUUCUCUAGAACUAUUUUUGUUUUUCUCUUUUUCUAUAUCACUUUAUCAUGGUACAAUAUAGUUCAUCUAUAAGUUUGAUUCUGUUAAAAUUUUCUUUUCUUGAAUGGUUGAUGAUAAAUCUAGCGAAGCUUUUGCAUGUAGUUUAUUGUUUGACUUUUUUUUUUUUUGGUUUUGUAUGUGCUAGGUCAAGAUGUUCAAUGUAUCAUGGGAGCCCUUGGCUGAGCUCUUGGCAACUAUUGGACGGUUACAGUUAUUACGCUGCCUGGUUUCUUUUAAGUUGAGGUCCUCAUCAAAGGUAUUAGAUUAGAAUAUUUAACUUUUUGCACCAGUUGAGGUGAAAAUAUAAGGAGCAUAAUUUGAAUCGUUAUCUCAACAACUCGAUCAAUUUUAUGAAUAUUUUUCACUUGAGAAUUGCGAUAGUGGAUUGGAACAUAAUCUUACUUCAUAAGUCGAUGGAAAUAAAGAAUACUAGUAAGAGGACUAAGGAUAUCAACAAUUAUUGAUCUAAAUGUGCUCCUUUUUAGUUAAAAUGUGAUUACUUAAUUUGGCUUGCCUUAGUUCAAUGCUAAGUAAAGCCAGCUAUACGAAUCCCAAAAGCAGUUUAGUCAGAUUUGUCCCAUGGGCUAUCUCCUUUAUAAUCUUAAAGUCUUUUACUGAGUCACUUAGAUCUUCACUGAGGAAAGAUGUCGUGGCAAUAUUUCUACAUUUACUCAUUGAAGAAAUUACCGGUUAGUGCUUAGAUACACUUUUCCAGUUGACGACCUUUCUUUUUGAGAACGUUAGAAACUAAUCGACUCAGAUAUAUAGCUGCUUCCGGCCUGUUGAUGAACAUGUUAAUGCCUCGACUUUCCUCAGGUGAAGAAACAAAGAAUAUCAAGAAAAAUGAAAGUGGAUAAAACUGCUGUGAAGUAGGGCAAAGUCUUAAUUUUUUCCAUCAGGGGAUAGGGUCAUAAGGCUUACUAGCUGGCGUUAGCCCUGAGCGAAAAAAGAGACGACCUGGUUCAUUUCUCUGGGCUGAGCCUCUAAACCAAGGGCAAGAAAAUUUAGGCCUGUCUCGAGUCUCUAAUAUAUUUAGUAGAUUGCCUAGUCCAUUUUUCUUUAAAAUCAACAUGGCUUGGUGCAGCCAUUUUGGACCUGACGUGCGCCUAGAUAAAUCUCAAGGCAAGCAAUUCUCUCUUGAUCUACGACUGUGACCCUGACCUGAAUCUGGCCUGGCCCAGGAUUUGUUUAGGUCUAGCUGGCAACCCUUUGGUAUAAUUGGCAUGGUAUAUUGUCAUGCGAAAUGAAUGGCCUGCUUCCUUUUUGUUCUUUUGUAUUUCUCUUUUAUUACCCUUCUUAUACUGGAGUAAAUUUGAGAAGUUUUAGAUAUUUCCUAUCAAUCUACUUUGAUUUUGCUUCUGUAUUACAUCUGGAAAUGAAUCUCGUUUGUUAAGCUGCAUAAAAAGUAUAUGUUUUUAUUUAAUUAUUUUUUCAGAUAAAGGCCGAUCUUGUAACUUCUGCCACUGAAAACUUGAUUUCUUCAGUUUCUUUGCAGAGAGAACGGAUUCUAGAGGUUUGUAAAGAUAAAUCGUAUUCAUUACGUUGUAUGCGUAUAAUAAUUGUAUACAUGAAUUAUCUUGUAGCAUCAAUUUGGCAGUGCUUAAAAGAUGAAGAAGAGAAGGAUUCAACAGUGCGAAACUUUCUCCAUUCAUUGUUUGAGCAGCAAAGGCUGUGCGGUUUACAAUCUCCGCUCCGAUCAGUCUACAUGUCGGAAGAUCCGCCGACUUGUUUAAGCAGAUUUACUUCUGUUUUCUCAAUAUCACAGGUUCCUUUUUAUCUUAUUCCAUCACAAUUACCAUUUGUUAGCCUCAUUUUCCUAAAAUCAGUUGAAGUUACUUCACUUCUUGGAGUUUAUUAAAUUGAAGCAAAACUGUUUUUUAUCCUUCGAAGUUCUACUGGAAAUCGUUUAUACAAACCGGCCUAACCUCUGAAAGGAUUCUUAGUUAAAACUCCUUGCUAGUACCACACUUUCUAUACUUGCUAGGUUAAUUCUUUGAAACUUUUUACUUAAUUUAUGAUUUUGCAUCCAGUUAUCACGAUACGUGCUCGAUGUCCACUUGGGCACUCUGACCAGUAAAUUGAAGAAGUCGAGUGUUGAUUUCUCUCCUCUGGUAAGUUGCUCCCCUCGUUCUUUUACUAGAAUUAGAUAAUCCGCAAAUUUCUCCUGCAAAAUAUUGAUGUUCUAUUGUGAUCGUAAGUAGCAAUCCCCGAAUAUGCGUUUCUUUCUUUGUUCUGUUUUUUAACUAAUCUAAGCCUUGAUGAACCGUUGAGAGGAUUUAGGUUAUAUAAUAAUCAUGAUGAAGGGCAAUUCUAGUUAUGUGUGUCGAAAUCCCUUUUACAAUGUGCGUGAACAAUUCUCAUAUCACUGAAGUUAGCUGGAAAAAAAAAGUAUCGAAAUAUCCUAGUAUCACACCGUCUUAAGAACAAUAGUGUUGGCUAUUACAAUGCCUUAAGAAAAUGCAUUAAUUUUUUUUUCCCCUCUUUUCCUAAUUUCCAGGUGAUCGGGCUCGGAACAUUUCUUAGGCAAUUUCAUGCUUUCUAUAUCACCCAAUACGCGCAGGUACGUUAAGUGCCCUAUAAUGAUUACCUCAUGUAUGUGUGGUUAUGCAUUACAAUUAUAUGCUUUUUCUUCGUCGAAAUGCAGUUCAUGGGUCAAUACAUACGGAUAGCCGUAGCCACGGCAUCAGAUUCUGGCUCUGAAACUCAGAAAGGAUCUGGCGAUUAUGCAUCCGAGGUUUUGCGUCGUUCUCUCAACUUUUUCCUCUCGAAUUUAUACUAUUUCUUUUUUAAAUUAGCAAUUUGGUUUACAAAACUACAAACCAUUUUACUUAUUUUUACGUAGUAACUUUGUUUCCCAGGUUUUGAAGUCCGCGUUUUGGCUGAUGUUCUUCGGCAAAUACAUGGAAAUCCCGAAGGAGUUGAUCGAAUCUUGCUUCCCUUCUUCGGUCCUCGCUAUCCUUCAAACUUGAAUAAUUCAAAAUUUUUGUCAUUUGAUCUCCGAUAAACCCGAAGAAGAUGAUGUGCUUUUGGCCAUGAUCCAUCGGCGAAAUAACAGCAAAUUAAGAGGAUUUUUCUGUUUUUUUCUUGGAUCUAAGUAGAAAAUGCACAAAUCAGAGGAUGGUAUUUUUUAGUGUUGUAAUGAAUUAAGAUUUUUCUCUUUUUUUGGUUUUUUUUGUUUUUGUUUUUGUUUUGUUUCCUUAGCAAGGGAAAUCUUAUGUUUGUAUUAUUUAUUGUAUUGGAAGAGAAAUAAAAUAAACUUGAUAUGUGGAAAAAAUAUUCACUCUCUUUUCAAAUUUUUUUUUUUCUCACUCUUAAUAGUUUUUGAGUGAAAAAAGAAAAACUCACUAGGGAACAAAACUCUUUGCAAAUGGACCAUAGUUGUAAAAUCCAAAUGAAUGUGGGUUAUUUCUGCAAAAAAAAAGAAAAAGAAAAAGCUUUUAAGUGUUAAGAGCAAAUAUGGAUAAUUUUUGUUCUUUUAAAAUUAGAGGACGAUUUUCAUUAACUCCUUUUGCGGUAUUAAAGUUGUAACAUUUAAAUAAUAUACGUUAUUGUUCUACCUCGCCGUCUAUCACGUGAUGGCACAAAUCUCAAAGUUACGUGAAUGGUUGAUGUGGCCGUCUCCUCUUUUUUUUUUUUUUUUUUUUUUUCAGCUUUACUUACAAGCCGUCACUUUCAGUACGAAAAUGUAAAAAGCACUAGGAGAGGGAGCAGGCGUAAUUUUUCCUCUAUUGGGAGCUAAAAAAUUAAAAUUAAUUACUUCCGCUUAUCCAAAAAACACAAAAAGAAAAAAAAAAAAAAAAAACUCGACCGGUCUCGUUCGCUCCAUGCCCACCCUAAACCUGUCAAAACCCUAAACCUAAUCUCUCUCUCUCCCCUUUCUCUUCUUGUGUUGGUCUCUCUCUCCCUCUCUCUCUCUCUCUCUCUCUCUCUCUCGGUAGGGUUAGGGUUUCGUUUAGGGUUUCGGUUUUUGUUUGUUCGUUGUUUCCCCAAUUCCCUUUGUUGUGUGAAUUUUUUGUGAUUUGCUUGGCUUCUGUUGCAGAGGCUUCGCAACGCGCUUUUCCGAAGCAAGCUUCUAAUGGAGGCUUCUGAAGGGCGGUACGGAUUUCAAAUUCACCUCUCUGGUUCUUAAAUUGGGAAAAAAAAAACCUAAAAAGCUUCAGUUUAUCUGAAAAAAUCUGAUUGUUUUUUUUAAUGCCAGAACAGUUUGAUUUUUUUGAGAACGGUUGUAUUUUUUUGAAGCAAAUUUGGAUUUUUUUUUUUUUUUUGGUUUAAUAUGUGCUAAGGAGCUUAUGUUGUAGUAAUGUAACUAAUGUUAUUUUUAUACUACUUAAUUGGAUCUUAAGUAUGUAAUUUUUGUGGCAAUUCUGGGUGUUUUAGUUACAACCCGGGGCCGGAUUUUGAAGAGGAUGCGAAGGCGCCGCUCCUCGACAUCUCUUCAUCGGACUCGACUGAGCUUUGGCUCAUUCAGUGGCCCAUCAACCAAGUAAUGCUAAUUGUCCUUAAUGCGCUUACGAAUACAUCUUUAUGGGUUUCUAUGUUUUAUAUAGGGAUUGUAAUGUUCGCGUCGUUUUACAAUGCAGUUACAGCCCUCUGAUUUCCAUGGGAAAGAGCUUUCGUUGAAGCUACACCGCGAUGGGCAGUUGGGAAGCUUCGAGAGCUCUUCUGGUGAGAAUGGGUUCUGAGAAUUUUAUUUUAAAUGCUUCCGAUUUUAGUUUAAAUUUCUCAUGGAUGUGUUCUGUUGAGUGUAUAAUUUGUUGAGUGUAUAAUUUGGCAAUAAAAAUUUGCUUUGGUAGCUACUUGUAGGAAUAACGAAUUUCUGGGAUGAUUGUGAAAUCAAUGCAAUAGUGUUGAUCGAUUCAGUAAUCAGUACCUCUUUUACCUAGUUUUUGGAGUAGCUGCUUAUCUACUCAAGAGGCGGAUUUCGGUUGCUUGGCAAAAAACGGAAAGCCUAGAAAUUCUGGCUCCGGCAUAGCUGAGAUUAGGCCCCAAAAGUGGAAGCUUCGAUUUGAAACUUACACUUUGAGCUUCAUAGCCGUGUUGUAGUGAGAAAAACUGGUAGGCGUUCAUUGAAACGAGCCCUAUUCAAAAGCACUUACUAAAAGCUCCAGUAGGCCAGGCCGUAAGUGCCUGUUUGGCGUGGAUUCAACUUUUGCUUUUAUCUGCAUUCACCUCUAUUAAGGUGUUUGGCAAACAAAAAAGAUGGCAGCUUUUGCUGUGGCGGGUAGUAGAAAAGUGAUUUUUUAGGUCAAAAAGUAGAAGCUCCAAACUGGAGCUUCUUAUUUAGAAAUCUGUUAGGAGGAUUUCAUUAUAGUUCUUCUCCGAGAGUGUUACUAAAACAAUAGUUCAUUGAACUGCACUAUGCCUUACAACAGGACCAAACAUGCCCUAAAUCUUAAAGAAACCAAAAGACAGAAAGGGUAGUGAAAAGAGAGAUUAAUCCUCUUUAUGAUGACAGGGAAAUCUUAUGAACUUAUCAGCUUCCAAGCCCAGGAACCAGAUGCAGCCGUCUUCCUUUCUUCAGGAACAGAAUCAAAAGUUGGUACGUAUUCUUGGGAAUUAAUACUCAGGCAAAUGAGUUACGAUUAUCAAUCAACAUUUUAGAAGAACUUUAGAUGGCCAUAUGUCUGUGCCUUUUUUGAGGUUUUUAUUUCCAUUUAGUGCAAGCAUUGGAUUAACAUAAACACAUCUGUAUUUGUUGCCACUUUUUGGCAUACGAAUGUGCUCAGUGUCCGACUAUUGCAUUAUAUUUCAAUGACAUUGUUAAAGAAUGUGAAACAAGCGUUGUUCUCCAAAUGCCUAAGAUACCAUAGAACGGUGUUUUUGUAUUUUUAUAUUCAACACUCCUCGUCACGUUUGGGCUCGCUCGAGACAUUUUGAUAGGUCCAAUACGCGAAAUUAAAUUAAAUGAGAGAAAAUUAAACGAAGCAAGGAGCCUGGCUAGACUCAAAAUCUCUCUCCUGCUCUGAUAUCAUGUUAAAUGAAAUUAAACAACCGAUUUUGUCCAAAAAGCUUAAGUUACCAGAGAACGGUGUUUUUAUAUUUUUAUAUUCAACAGAUAUUAUAAUAUGAAUAUGCGGCAAAAAAAACAUAUGAAUUCAAAAUAUUUAAGUCACCAAAAUGGCAUUUUCAUUCAUGUUUAAGACUUUUAAUUAGUAUCUCCUCAAAGUGCUAAUACUAGUAUUUGCUGUUCCCUUUAUUUUUCACGUUGGGAAGUUUUUCUCUCAAGAAAUAAGAAACCAGGCAUAAAUUUUCUUCUUUUACUCAACAUUGUUUUUUAGUAAUCUGUUGAUUGGUUCUAAGCUAAUGCAAUUAAUCUUGAUAUGCCUUGCUUUAUUUAUUUGCUGCUCCAGUGGGGAAGAUUUCACGCCGUGUUUGUUUAGUCCAUUAUCCAGAACCAGAAGAAUUGGAGAAACCUGGUUUUGGUGCCCUUAAUCUAAGUAGUCAGAGAUCCGAAGGUAAGUACUCCGCUAACAAAUGAAUCUCGUUAACAAUGCUAUCAUGCUGAUUCCCAAAUUUUUGCUCAAUUUGUGACCAUUUAAAGUGCACUCAAAUCGUAUCAGAUAGAUGUUCAAUUCUGGACUGUUUACUUAUUCUCAUUAGGACAAAAAUUAUAUGAUGAGCUCCUCGUCGAUGAUCGAAUGAAAUCGGCUCCGAAGCUGUCCCAUGUCCUUAUUAUCUCCAUCGCCCACUCAAUUACACCCAUUUUCUUUAUUUAGAAAAAUUAUUUCUUAUCAAAAGUUGGUUGAAUGGUUAGAUUGGAAGCAUAGUUGGGAUUGAUGUCAUUCAAUCCCUUAUGAUCAUCUAACAGGAUCUCCUCGUGAAAAUUUCUUGCCCUUUAAUCAGAGUUGUGAUUCCACUAGGUUUUGUUGCGUUGAAGGUCAACUCGAACUCAACCCUAACCUGACCCGACCAAUUGGAUCUUGCGGUGGGUUGAGGAUGGGCUGAGAUGGGUUGGGUUUGAUCGGUUCAGUUUACAAAUGUAAAUGUUUAAGAACUCGAAGUUCAUUCAUUCUCUUGAAUACUAAGCAGUGGCUAAUCUUUUCCAUCGAUGAUUUUCUUCUAAUCUAAAAUUUGAUGAGUGUAUUGUGGUAUCACUCUCACCUUCUCUGAUAUAUUAUGGGUAAGUUCGAGUUUUGGGUUUGUUGUUAACUGUAACCUGACGUAAAUGUGAUUGUCAAAUCCUACAUAGCUUGAUGUUUAAAGUUGGCGAACCUGGGUUGGGAUUCGACCCGAGUUGCGAUAGAUACAAGUGACUACUCUUUUUCAUUAUGUCGCAGGUUCUUUCAGAAAAAGCAUGUCCCGGUAUUCUACAACCCCGUCAAAACACGGAAGCGUUUCGAGGGCCGAAGGAAUGUCUCAUAAUACCCUAGCUUCGGCACAAAGUGCUGCUAAAAAAAUCAGAGGAUCUUCUGACAAAUACAAGCAGAAGAGGGACGAGGCUGCAACAGCGCCUUCUGAGAUAUCCGAAAAGUUUUCGGGCCGUUCUUCUUCUCAUGCUUCUGUAGAAAGCCAAAUGACUAAGAACACCGCAUUAGAGGCCGAGGGGUCUACCCCCGAGAAGUCCGCGAAGAAGAAGAGAAAGAAGAUCAAGGUCGAGGAGUAGCGAGCACUUUUUACGUAUUUCGGUUCUUCUUUUUGCGGAUCACAAAGAGCAAAUUUUGAUGUGCGAAUUGGUCGAGAGCGCAAAAAUAUGUAUUUCGGAACAGGGAAUUUGUAUUUGAAAUUUGGCUUGUUUAGCCAAUUAAUCAUAAAUGUAUUUUUGUUUUCUGAUGUGGUUUGGCAUAAGUAGUUGUUGUGUCAAAGCUUACUAAUAUUAUUAAUAUUAAUGUUGCAUAAAUAAAUGGCUGUUCUUGUUACUUAUUUUUUCUGAGUUGAUAGAGAGAGAAAUUGUUGUUUAGCUCCCUAAUCUUCUAUGAUUUUGAUCUGUUGAGAUCGGUCCUGGGAACUGCUGAUCAAUCUUAAUGGGCGGUUCAUAAUUUUUUGUGAAAAAUGAAAAAUGUAUAGAAGCUAUGCCUAUAGAAAUGUUAUUAAUGAUAUUAAUUAAUCAUCCAAUGAGAAGCUUUGUGUUUUUAAAUGGUCAUGUAUUAUUCUGAUACAAGUAUAAGAUGAGUUUCAUAUGUUCCAUUAUAAAGUACACAAAAUUUUCAUAGCCUUCUAGGUAAACAUGUGAACUAAAAGAAUUAUUUAUUCAUGCAUUUUUAUGUGAAUAAUUUGUAAAUACCCAAAGAAUAUGCUAACCAUAAGUAGGGAUGUCAAUGGGUAUGGACACUCGAAAUUUUAUCCGAACCCGAACCCGAAUGAAACGGAUAUAUUCGAUGCUAAAUGGAUAUGGAUUCAUAUAUGGAUAUUAAAAAUAAAAAUCCGAUGGAUAUGGAUUCAGAUAUGGAUUUUGACUGUACCCGAUCCGAACCUGAACCCGACCCGAACCCGAAUUUAUUUUGUAUUAUAUAUAAUAUAUAUAUAAAAAUUUGAUGUUAUAUUUGAAUUUGUAUUUUAAAAAUUUAGAUUUAAUAUAAUAUAUUUUGAAAUAUUGAAAAAAAAAUAAUUGUUUGGGGUUCAAAUUUUCGGGUUUGGGUUCGGGUUCGGGUUUUGGAUUUUUGGUCGGGUUCGGGUUUAAAUAUGAAUUUUUAAAACCCGUCGGGUUUGGAUCUUGGGUUUGAAGUCGGGUUCCGGUUCGGGUGCUUGAAAAUCCGCCCCGCAUCCGAUCCGUUGACAUCUCUAACCAUAAGAGAGAGAGAGAGAAAUGGUCAACUAAAAACCAUCCAUUAAACUUGGUCAAACACUAAACUCUCUCUCUAAAUCCACUCUCCACCACACAAAUCCCAUGCUAAAACAGGUUUGCACCAACUUAUUAAUUCCACCCACUAAGUUAAUCCCAAAGCUAAGCCAGCCUCAAAAAAUUAAUCCUUAACUACUACUACUAUUGCAAACUCUCUCUCCCUUCCCAAUCCUCCAAUUCAAACUUACUUGGAAAGAACAAAAAAAAAAAAAAAAAAAAAAACCAAGAGGAGGGAAUUUCAAAAUGGCCAAGCUCCACGCCGUCGUCGCCGCUCUCUUCUUCGCCCUCGCGGGCUCCACAUUCGCUGCUCCGGUCCCCGAUUUCGUCGUCGAGGGCCGCGUUUAUUGUGACACGUGCCGCGCUGGAUUCGAGACCAGCGCCACCGAGUACAUCGAAGGUUAUAACAGCGUCUCGAACAAACAUGAACUGAACUGAACUGAACUGAACUGAACGUCCUCUCGAUUUCGUUUAUACGAAAUACUAAACUACUGUUCUGUUCUCUAGCUGCUUAAGCUUUUAAGGAAAGUACGUAACGGUUGUUGUUGUUGUUGUUGUUGUAUGUUGUUGUGAUGUUAUUGUAGGUG
rnacentral:lncRNA from 1 species